rnacentral:lncRNA from 1 species
GGAAUUGCACCACGCCGUGGCAGUGGAAUGAGGAUGCUGUUGUCACUUCAGAUGAACUAUGGCAUGCAAACACCAUGGAGAGUCUCCCUCAUGACAUUGUGAUGCUCCCAUUGCUGAGUAUGGAUAAGGCCAAUGUUGCGCACCUUUCAUUGAUUGACUGGGAUGGUGGAUUCUCAUUAGUUUCCAUCGACUUGAGUAACAUGCAAGUGAUGGGCCCAGUCAUUACAUACCUCAAAGGGAAGGAUGAUACUGCUGAUGCUGACAUCGUCGAGGAAAAGAAAGGAUUAUGUGCACACUUUAUUCCAUCCGAAUUCCCCAAGUUCCUGGAUCUCAGGUAACUUCAGCGUUGCCUCCCACUUUUACUUGAGCACAAUUUUUUUUCAUGCAGCCUUUUGCUCUCUUUUUUUCAGCAGUUAAGGUUUCUGCCAUGUUAUUCUUGAAACCUUUGAGGAAUCAACAGAAUAUGCUGGUUGCUGGGAGUAAUAUGGAUCAAUGUUUUCAAGUCUUUAUGUUGAGUCUAGUCGCUGGGGUACCAACUAGAUGGCUAAUCGUAACUAGGCAACGAUUAAAUUUGCGAUUAGCUCAGAGACCAGUCGAUCCACCCUUGCCUACAGUAGAGAAUGAUAGAGUAUAACACAAAGGUGACGAACUGAUCUCUUGGUUUGAGCCCAACACAUAAUUGUUCUUUGUGGGUUCUUCAAUCUGAAAGUGCAUAAUAGCGUGCCAGCGUUGUGCUUUGUUUCCUUCACUAUUUUGAUUCUACAUGUCAAAUUAUUGAAAGGUUUUGUUCAGUUACCAACAACAUGGAUCCUUAGAAGUAGGUGGCACCCAGCGAAUCAGCAUCAUAUCGAAGAACCCCUAGGUCUUCUAAACAAACCGGCUGGAAUUGUGGAAAUCAAUUAAACUUAAUUAUAUCCAUAGUGCCUUCCUUGUAUAUCAUGUUUCAUUCUGCCAGUAGUAACCUCAGCAACUUGACGGUCUUGGGAAAUUAGGCAAUGGUAGUCUGCCUGAGGUUAAUAUAGGCCCUUUUUGUAUCCGUUUAUUUCCUGCUUAUCAAUGGAAAUAAGCGAUAAGCCCACCCAAACGCCUAGCUUAUUUCCCGCUUACCUCCCAAGCCGCUUAGCCCACAAUCUGGAAAACAACUAGCGCCCCGCUUAUUCUCUACGCGGUCUUGGGGCCGCUUCUUGGGCAAGCGAAGCGCUUUUUCCUGAUACCCUCACCCAUCCGCUACCUGCCGCCCUUUGACCGUCGCCGGCUCCGUCCGCCGCCCGCCUGCCUCCAACGCUUCCCUGCACAAAUCCCGUCUAGAUCCCGUUGCCAUCAGUCACCAGCACUCCUGCCCAGAUCCCGUCGCCGCCGGUUCCGUUCGCUGCCCGCCGCCAGCCGACCCUACGCUUGGCCCCCCCUGUGCUUGGCCUCCGGCCGGCCCUGCUGUUCUUUUUUGUGAAGGAGGUGGCGGAGUGCUGGCCGUCUACUGCUGAGUGUUGGUCGUGAGCAGCAUUUGAGCUCGCCGUGCGUGCUGCCGUUGUUGUUGAGAAGGAGCUAGAUAUGGGUGCAUUGCGUCAUGUUAUUGCUGUCGCUAUGGUUCGUGAUUCGUUGUUGUACUCAUGAUGGAUGUUUCCAUACUAGACCGUUCUAUCAUAUGAAUUUCAUAUUAUUGCAAUGAAAUUUCUAUUUAACAAACUCCAAAAAUAUUGGAAUUAUUAUCUUCUCACAAUAAAAAUGAGCUAUUAUCAGCCUCAGGGGCAUUCAGGUCAAUUUACCAGCCAGGACAGACAAUCGACACAAAAUAAUCAGGAUUGCCAAACACCCAGCUUAUACAGACAGCGGAUUCUCCAGACAGCAGGUAGGCUUUUAAGAUAAGCCUGCUUGCCAGAUAAGCGAGUUCAGAAAAGCGUAUACAAACAGGCCAUAAAUGUUUCACAGCUUAUUCUGUUGCCUAACUGUUGCUUGUCACGUUGAUCCCAAAAUCGACCAUAAGCUAAGUUAUUUUUUCUUAAUGACGUCCGAGGCAUCUGAGAAUCUUUUAUAAUUCUUGUUAACCAUGGAUACUAUCAAAAUAACUUCAGCAAUGGGUGAAUCUAAGACUAUGAGAAGCCUAAAUUUCGAUUUGUACAGAUUAUCUCUGCUGAAAAAAAUUAUUGAAAUCAUCAGCAUGCGUUGUAGCUGACAAUUAUUGUUUCCUAUUUGUAUUGAUGAAGUUCUUGCUACUGUAUUGCAGGAAGAGAGAGAAUCAUCCAUAAGUCCUGUCACCAUAUCGGCUGGCCACCGUCGUCAUGUGUGUUGCUUCUUCAUUUUCCAGUUCUGUUGUGCUGGAUUCUACUGCCGACUUUGUUGAUUGGCUACUACAAUUCUGAGUUUAGUCCUCAGCUUUUGUGUGUUCCCUGCACUUGUGUACUAUAAAUAGCCAGGAAAAACACCUUUACCAGGCUCAUCCGUUGAACUAUAUGAUAAUGCUAGAUGAUGUGUCCAUGCCUUGCUAACGACUUCUACAUGCCAUGCGAGUUAAAAAUCCUGCAAUCAUGUUUCGUGGUAGCAGUUUACCUUUGCACAAUGAAACUCCUCACUAAACCACAGUUCAAUUUGAGGGACUACUGCGUUGUUUUUACAGGGAUCUAAUGCCAUCAAUCAAAUUGUAAAAUACAGACAGGUACGCGUGGAAUGGACACUUGUGUUCAUUCAGAUUUUUGUGAUAUUUCAUACCUAAUGAUUACCAGGUUGUCACGCCCCUACAUGCAAAAUUGGUCUACGAGAUGGGAUAUAAGCUCAAAAGGACGUGAGAGCUGUAUUAUCAUGUAGCUCAUGACCUGGCAGAAGUGAAUAGUUGCACGAAAUACAACAUUGCAAACAAGGUUUUUAUUCAUUUUCUCUGCUGAUGGCACAUGGUAGCAGAAGCAGUGCCACCAAUUGGUGAAAGAUUUUCAGUAAACUGAGUGUUUGACAGAACAAUAUGAUGCCACCAAAGCAAUCUGCAUGAGUUCUCUACCUCCGGAAGUCCAGAUGGUUGCUCUGUUUCAUUCCUCACCAUGGUCAUGGCAGGGCGUGAUGGCACCCCCCCCCCCUCCCUAGGCGGGGCGCGGAGGCUGCAGGUUCAACUCAGAGUUUAGACCUUAACUUGUUCGUGAGCAAUGCAGAAUGCUACAAAUGUAAUACAGUGGGCAUGCAUGAUGCUGAAACAAACUAGUGCAACUUUUAGUGGAACAAUUGAUGAAUUAUGAUGUGUUGUCCAAGUAAAGGAUCGGUGGUGUUGUUUUGCUGAUCUUUUAGCGAAAAUCUAGUGAUAGUGUUUGGAUAUAUAUCCUAAGUUCCUAAUAACUCAUAGAUGAACAAUGAAUGCUAUAUUGAAUUGAAGCCAUGUUUGUUCUAUUCAAAAUGCAGGGAGCAUGCUCGAGCGGGCUUGGGGGGUCAUGGAGGGUCUGCUAAUGCUGGCACAAAGCCAGACUGGUUCCUUGAAGGGUGAGUAAUUAAUACCUUCGAUUCAUCUAAGCAGUGCAAAAGUGAUGUGCUUAAUGCCUUGGACAAUGAAGCACCAGCUACUUCUAUGUUUUUUCCACCAAGAUUAGCUCAUGAUUUUGUCACUUUUUCCCACAACCUGCAAGUUUUGAAGCACUUUACUUUUGCCAUGUUAGCCAAAAUUUGGAGACAAGUACAAAGAGUAAGGAUAACCAACUCAUUUCUAGUAUUGGAGCAUCAAAAUCUAGUUCUGGAGCAUCAAAAAGGUAAUACACAGAUCUUAAAAAAUUGGUCAUACUGCUAUUGCUAUUUUGUUGCUACUGUUAUUUUGUUGUCUUUUGUUCAAAUCUAGUUCUAGCAUACACAUGUCAAUAUCAGAUUCAAAUGCACCUCUGCCUACUGCUGCUCCAGUCAAGGCAAAGAGCAAAAGGAAAAAGGAGCCUACUAAAAUGAAAACCACCAUUUCUAUACUGCCACUUGACAGCCCUACAAUGGGCCAAAAAACAAAAGGGUGGAUCCUGCUAGCGCUGCAAUGAGCAUAAGGAGCAAAAGAAGGCUCAGCCUGUGAUCCUUAUGAAUCUAUAAAUUUGGACUCCGCCAUGAAUCUUUUUAUAUAUCAACCUUUGUGUGUGAACUUGCAUGUGAAUUUGAACUCCUAUGUGAACUCACUACCGGAAACAGUAACUUCGCCGAGUGCCUGGGGCACUCGGCGAAGGGCCAAUUACACUCGGCAAAGGGUUUGCCGAGUGUAACACUCGGCGAAGUUUACUCGGCAAAGUUUCCUACGGCAAACAGUGAGUUUGCCGAGUGUCGAUCAUCGGGCACUCGGCAAACACUUUGCCGAGUGCCACAAUACACUCGGCAAAGUAUAACACUCGGCAAAAAGAUGCUAACGGUCGCCGACGGUCACGGCUCCUUUGCCGAGUGUCAGACGGCAGACACUCGGCGAACCUGUAAUCUUUGCCGAGUGUUUUUUUCACAUUGCACUCGGCGAACCUACAAUCUUUGCCGAGUGUUUUUCACAUUGCACUCGGCGAACCUACAAUCUUUGCCGAGUGUUGUUCACAUUGCACUCGGCGAACCUAUACCCUUUGCCGAGUGUUUUUCACAUUGCACUCGGCAAAGAAUGUCCCGCCGGCCAGAUUAGUUUAGGCUUUUACCGAGUGUAUCCUUGCGGCACUCGGCGAAGUUGCGUGUUUUGCCGAGUGCCCCCCCUUGGCACUCGGCAAAGGGCCCUGCUGCAAAAAUUUUUUGGCACCUUUGCCGAGUGCCAAGACAAUGGCACUCGGCAAAAACGUCGAUACAACAGAAAAUGGGCGCUUUGCCGAGUGUUAACACUCGGCAAAGUACCCGAGCACCCCCUACAAAACAGAAAUGUUACGUAUAAAAGACCCCUCUCAAAAAAACAACCAGAGAAGCACAUGCAUAUAAAUUACACCACAGGCAUAUAAAUUGCAGCACAAGCAUCACAAGCACACAAAUAACAUUUACAAGUUCUGGUCGAAACAGGUAAUUCACAAGUUUUACCACAGCUAACACCUCUAGUUCACAAGUCACUGAGGAGGAUAAGGAGGAUGAGGAGGCUGAGGAGUAUGUGCCCCAGGUGGCCACUGCCCCCAAGAAGAUUCUGCAUUGGACGCCGCCGAUUGAUUCUGCACAAAGUUAUAGAGAUUGUAUUAGUCACUUUUCUAGUGUAAGUCUGUAGUGCCUGUAGUUUCUAGUUUAACUCUAGAUUGAUUGUAAGGUUGAGAGUGACUCACAGGAGUAGCUGCAGGAGGUGGUGGAGGUGGCGGGAAUAGGUUCGGUGGCAUAGGUGGUGGAGUCUGACCUAAACUGUGAAAGACACUCUGCAUGUAUUGGAACAUCUGCUCCGUCCUCUGCCUUUCUAGCUGCCGAUCCGCCUCGAUCCUCGCCUCUAGUUCCUCCCGGCGCUUCCGUUCUACCUCCACCUGGGCCUACAAUAUUUCAUCCCAAUGUCUUAUUGCCAAUGCCAAGAUAUGAACAAAAUGAAUGAAAAAUUAAAGAAACAGGAAUAACCUGCAGAGCCUGCAUCUGUAACUGUGCAGCGGUAGGCCGUGCCCGUAUCGCGGGGCUCGAGUCAGUGCUCCUUGCUCGGAUCUGGGAGAGGGUGGGAGUACUGGCAGUGUCGAUCACGCUAUCUCCAAUCCAGUACCUGCCAUGCUUCUUCCCUCCUCCCACCCUCAUCACAAUUUCAGGAUCUAUAUCCUGAGAGCUCGGAUCGAACUCUGGCCCAUGAACCUCCCUCGCCAUUGCUGUGUACUCGGUGACACGGCUGUGGAUGCUGGGAUGGCUGUAUGCCUCGAGCGGGUCCUCCGGGUUGAAGUCGAUGUCUGCCGAGGCCUUGCCCUUUUUGGACAUAACCCAUGCCUUGAACCGGGAGCACUCCUGGCCUUCAUGUGAUGACGUCUGCGGCAAAAAUACAAAAGGAUUACAAAAUAUGCAGUAUUAUGUGCAUUAUGUGUGAUAAUAAAGAAAUGAAUUCACGUACCCAUUUUUCCUUGUAUUCAUCAAGGCUCAGGCUGCCUUGAUGGUGUGGUGCAUAUGGCAUCUGCAGACGCCGCUCCCGGCAAGCAUUGUGGUUCUCCAACCACCCGGGCUGCAACCACACGUUCACCAUUUGUUCCCAACACCGGGUAAAGGAUCGGCACCACCACGGAGGCACCUACAUCAUCAAGUGUGUGACAUAUAACAAAAGAAGUGAAGCGUAAUUAAUCUCAAAAAUAGUAAAUAUUAACUUUUUGUACGUACCAUCAUGAAUUCUUCCUUCGUCAGGUUCAUUGUCCUAGCCUCUUCUUUUUUGACCCUCAUCCUUUUGUAUUCAGCAUAGAAGUCGAUGAUGGCCUGAACCCGCGCCUCGUAGUGCAUGUCCUUAACGAGCUUCUUUGCGGCUAGUUCAAUGACGGAGGCCGCCCUAGCCUCGAAUCCCUCUUGGCAUCUAUAAAAGUCCUGCGUAUAGACACAUUGCAAACAAGUAUUUUUUCAAGAAUGUCUAGCGAAACUUGUGUAUUAAGCAAUCUAGUGCUUCGAAUACUUACCCACAGCUCGGCCUUCACUCGCUCCGCCUUGUUCGCAAAUUGCCUGUGGUCACGAUCACCGACGUCGGCGGCGGCGACGUAGUGGUCCCACGUGUAGGCCGGCUCCUCCUGUCCGGCGAAGACCACUAGACCGGGAAAGUGUAGCCUACACAAAAGACCGAUGAUGCCGUUGACCUUGCGAUUGUGGGCACCCCCACUGAGCUUAAUCCAACUCCUACACAAGUGAGUAAUAUACAUUAUUAGUUUCUAUUGUAAAUUUGAACAUAUCAAAAGUACUAAGAAUAUGUAAAAUUACUUACUUUGCCCCGGUGGGUUGAAUCAGUGGGCGUAAAUGAAGAGGGAUCGGUCGCCUCGGAAGGGACGAGGGACCUCGCAACCAGAUCUUGGACUGCGAAUCCCCUGCCUCCCUCUCCUGCUCCUGCUCCUGCUCCUGCUCCUGCUCCUGCUCCACCUCCGCCUCGUCACUAGAGGCGUGCGCGGAAGGUACCUCAUCCUCCUCCGACGACGAAGGCGCAGGCGAGGGGGGCCUCACCCCUUUACCCUUUCCUCGACCCCUGCCCCGACCCCUGCCUCUAGCAAGGACCUGUGCCCCCUCCGUUUCCUCGGCCUGUGCAUCACCCCUGCCUCCACCCCUCCCUCGACGCUUCCCUCGACCUCUCGAAGCGUCUGACCUUGUACCUGACCCUGAAGCUGCAGCUUUUAAUUUUUUGUAAAGCGCUGCAAUCUUCCUCGUACCGCCCACCAUUGUUGCGUCACCUGCAUUUGCCAAGAGUUAACCAAUUAGCACAGAUAGUGUAUAAGAUGUGCAAAUAAGUAAACAUACUUAAUAAANNNNNNNNNNNNNNNNNNNNNNNNNNNNNNNNNNNNNNNNNNNNNNNNNNNNNNNNNNNNNNNNNNNNNNNNNNNNNNNNNNNNNNNNNNNNNNNNNNNNCAUGAUUAGGAUUAGCUGGAUCAUAAGUCUCAUCAUCAUCACUGUCACGCGUGUCAAUAAAAUCAUUCUCGUGCUCCGAAGGAGGAGUGUCAUCAUCAAUCUCCUGUCCUAACUGUAACCGCUGAAGUAAUUCUAACUCCUUCAUAUUAUGAACCUCCUCUCCAGCAUCAUCGUCAGCAACCAUUUCAUUGUCCACUUCCAUUCUCAUACCGUCGGUUAAAUCAAUCUCAAAAUUCCCUUCGAGCCCAUCUUCUUGAAAAAAAUCUCCGUCAUAUGUGUUGGGGUCAAUGUUGUAAUCUUCAUUGUUUGGUACAGGUAAUUUACCGUGCGGCGAUACCUUGUACACAACAUCCCAACCUUUAAGACGGUCGUCCGAUUGGCACGGGUAUGACAAAUAAUAAACUUGCGUGGCCUGUUGAGCCACAAUGUAUACAUCGUCUCCUUCUAAGACGGAUGAUUGGCGAAUUUCGACUAACCCAAGAUUAGGUGCCCGUCUCACGACUGAUGGAUCAAACCAAUGGCAUUUGAAUAUGACUGGAUUAAGCACUUUGCAACCAUGAAAAGUUAGUUCGUAUAUCUCUUCAAUUCUUCCGUAGUACUCUACACCAUCAAAGCCAGGCGUAAAAACUCCGCUAUUUGUCGUUUUUCGAUUGGGCCGACUAUGCUCAUGGGUUGUUGUGUGAAAGCGAUAUCCAUUUACAUCAUAACCGGUAAAAGAUUUGACCCUGUAGGCACAGCCAUCGGCAACCUGUCUCAACUCGGCAUUCAUAGACGAAUCGGUUUGAGCCUGCAAGUUGAAGUAGGGUGGUUCGUUAUAUUAUUCGCAUAUACGAUCAACUUCUAAUCAAGCUAAGUAGGAGCUAAAAUCGACUGUACCUUAUGUUUGAACCAAGAAAUGAAAUUGGGCAUUCCAUUUCCUGCACCCUCUUUGAGAAGAGUCUCGGCUUCGUGUGGGGUAGGUUCCCUUGAAUGACGCCAGAACUUACGAUGGAAUUCCCUGUACCAACGAGAAACAUGAUAGUAUGUCGAAGAAUACUGACAAAUUCAGAAAAGACUAGUUUGUUCAGAACUUACAGUAUGUACGGCUCCACCUCGGAUAGGUUGGUCAAUACAUACAACAUGAUAGUGCGCCACUCUUUAUGUUUCAAUUUUUUUUGUGUCGCACCACUUGCACUUCCAAGUUGUCCUCGAAAAAGACUAAGGCUCGAUUCAACUUCGCUGUCAUUGUAACGAGGCAGUGGAUUGUGCACAUUAGGAAGGUUGUCAGCAUAGUAUUUUGUUGUGAAGUUUGACACCUCCUCUAGAAUGUAUGCUUCUGCAAUGGAGGCUUCAAUUUUGCAUUUGUUUUUACAUUUCGUUCGAAGAACCUUUUGACACCUCUCAAUUGAAUAGCACCAACGGCCCUGCACAGGCCCCCCCAUUCGUGCUUCAUAAGGGAGGUGUAAAAUCAUAUGCUGGGGAGGUUCCACAAGCACGAUCUCUAGGUCCAAGCAUGUUGCUCGCCAUAUCCCACAAAACCACCAUCUUGAUUGUUGACCUCCAGAGCGUCUAACUGAGCACGAACCGCGGCUAAGGUAAGCAUCUGCGGUGGAGGGUCGUUAACUACGACAUCUUUUGUAAAAUUUCUAAUAUCUCGUCUGAAAGGAUGAUCAGGAGGAAGGAAUUGUCGAUGUUUGUCGAAUGAAGAAUAUUUUCCACCCUUCGUCAACCAAAUGAAUUUCAAAGAAGCCUUGCAUACUGGGCAUGGGAACUUCCCGUGAACACACCAACCACAGAAAAUACCAUAUGCUGGCAAGUCAUGCAGGGAGUAGUGGUACCAAACAUGCAUCUUGAAGUUUGUCCUUGUAGCACGGUCGUAUGUCCAUACCCCUUCAUCCCAUGCACGGACCAAAUCAUCAAUCAAAGGCUCCAUGUACACACUCAUAUUAUUUCCUGGAUGUUCUGGAAUUAUCAACGAUAAAAAUAUGUUCUGUCGCUGAAAGAGAACACCAGGGGGGAGAUUGAGGGGGAUAACGAACAUAGAUCAACAUGCGUACAGGGCGGCAGCCAUUCCAUAAGGAUUGAACCCAUCUGUUGCGAGCGCAACCCUUACAUUACGAGCCUCUCGAGCUUUCUCAUGAUAGAUGGCAUCGUACUUUGUCCAUGCACUGCCAUCGGAAGGGUGGACCCCCUUCUCAUGCAUUGUAUCGACGGCCGGUUUUGUGCCAUGUCAUUUCGUNNNNNNNNNNNNNNNNNNNNNNNNNNNNNNNNNNNNNNNNNNNNNNNNNNNNNNNNNNNNNNNNNNNNNNNNNNNNNNNNNNNNNNNNNNNNNNNNNNNNNNNNNNNNNNNNNNNNNNNNNNNNNNNNNNNNNNNNNNNNNNNNNNNNNNNNNNNNNNNNNNNNNNNNNNNNNNNNNNNNNNNNNNNNNNNNNNNNNNNNNNNNNNNNNNNNNNNNNNNNNNNNNNNNNNNNNNNNNNNNNNNNNNNNNNNNNNNNNNNNNNNNNNNNNNNNNNNNNNNNNNNNNNNNNNNNNNNNNNNNNNNNNNNNNNNNNNNNNNNNNNNNNNNNNNNNNNNNNNNNNNNNNNNNNNNNNNNNNNNNNNNNNNNNNNNNNNNNNNNNNNNNNNNNNNNNNNNNNNNNNNNNNNNNNNNNNNNNNNNNNNNNNNNNNNNNNNNNNNNNNNNNNNNNNNNNNNNNNNNNNNNNNNNNNNNNNNNNNNNNNNNNNNNNNNNNNNNNNNNNNNNNNNNNNNNNNNNNNNNNNNNNNNNNNNNNNNNNNNNNNNNNNNNNNNNNNNNNNNNNNNNNNNNNNNNNNNNNNNNNNNNNNNNNNNNNNNNNNNNNNNNNNNNNNNNNNNNNNNNNNNNNNNNNNNNNNNNNNNNNNNNNNNNNNNNNNNNNNNNNNNNNNNNNNNNNNNNNNNNNNNNNNNNNNNNNNNNNNNNNNNNNNNNNNNNNNNNNNNNNNNNNNNNNNNNNNNNNNNNNNNNNNNNNNNNNNNNNNNNNNNNNNNNNNNNNNNNNNNNNNNNNNNNNNNNNNNNNNNNNNNNNNNNNNNNNNNNNNNNNNNNNNNNNNNNNNNNNNNNNNNNNNNNNNNNNNNNNNNNNNNNNNNNNNNNNNNNNNNNNNNNNNNNNNNNNNNNNNNNNNNNNNNNNNNNNNNNNNNNNNNNNNNNNNNNNNNNNNNNNNNNNNNNNNNNNNNNNNNNNNNNNNNNNNNNNNNNNNNNNNNNNNNNNNNNNNNNNNNNNNNNNNNNNNNNNNNNNNNNNNNNNNNNNNNNNNNNNNNNNNNNNNNNNNNNNNNNNNNNNNNNNNNNNNNNNNNNNNNNNNNNNNNNNNNNNNNNNNNNNNNNNNNNNNNNNNNNNNNNNNNNNNNNNNNNNNNNNNNNNNNNNNNNNNNNNNNNNNNNNNNNNNNNNNNNNNNNNNNNNNNNNNNNNNNNNNNNNNNNNNNNNNNNNNNNNNNNNNNNNNNNNNNNNNNNNNNNNNNNNNNNNNNNNNNNNNNNNNNNNNNNNNNNNNNNNNNNNNNNNNNNNNNNNNNNNNNNNNNNNNNNNNNNNNNNNNNNNNNNNNNNNNNNNNNNNNNNNNNNNNNNNNNNNNNNNNNNNNNNNNNNNNNNNNNNNNNNNNNNNNNNNNNNNNNNNNNNNNNNNNNNNNNNNNNNNNNNNNNNNNNNNNNNNNNNNNNNNNNNNNNNNNNNNNNNNNNNNNNNNNNNNNNNNNNNNNNNNNNNNNNNNNNNNNNNNNNNNNNNNNNNNNNNNNNNNNNNNNNNNNNNNNNNNNNNNNNNNNNNNNNNNNNNNNNNNNNNNNNNNNNNNNNNNNNNNNNNNNNNNNNNNNNNNNNNNNNNNNNNNNNNNNNNNNNNNNNNNNNNNNNNNNNNNNNNNNNNNNNNNNNNNNNNNNNNNNNNNNNNNNNNNNNNNNNNNNNNNNNNNNNNNNNNNNNNNNNNNNNNNNNNNNNNNNNNNNNNNNNNNNNNNNNNNNNNNNNNNNNNNNNNNNNNNNNNNNNNNNNNNNNNNNNNNNNNNNNNNNNNNNNNNNNNNNNNNNNNNNNNNNNNNNNNNNNNNNNNNNNNNNNNNNNNNNNNNNNNNNNNNNNNNNNNNNNNNNNNNNNNNNNNNNNNNNNNNNNNNNNNNNNNNNNNNNNNNNNNNNNNNNNNNNNNNNNNNNNNNNNNNNNNNNNNNNNNNNNNNNNNNNNNNNNNNNNNNNNNNNNNNNNNNNNNNNNNNNNNNNNNNNNNNNNNNNNNNNNNNNNNNNNNNNNNNNNNNNNNNNNNNNNNNNNNNNNNNNNNNNNNNNNNNNNNNNNNNNNNNNNNNNNNNNNNNNNNNNNNNNNNNNNNNNNNNNNNNNNNNNNNNNNNNNNNNNNNNNNNNNNNNNNNNNNNNNNNNNNNNNNNNNNNNNNNNNNNNNNNNNNNNNNNNNNNNNNNNNNNNGCCGGCGCGUCGGGGCGGCGGCGGGGCGCCGGGGCACCGGGGUGGGGCGGUGGGGCGGCGGGGCGGCCGGCGGUGGCGGACAGCUGGUGGCGGCGGCGGGUUGCACGGGCGAGGACUCGAAGCUUUUGGGAUAGAGGCCAGGCCACGCGCGGCGGUUCGGGGAUAGCCUAAGUCCGGUUCUUUGCCGAGUGCCCGCGAUCUGGCACUCGGCAAAGUAAAUAAAUUUGAACGGGACAGUGUGUUUGCCGAGUGCUUUGGAUCUGGCACUCGGCAAACCUUCUUCCUUUGCCGAGUGCCAGAUCCAAGGCACUCGGCAAACACACGUUUUUCUUUUUUAAAGCAGGACGAGAACACUCCCAGUGGGCCCGUGUAACCUUUUUACCGAGUGCCUGCGAUCUAACACUCGGCAAAUACUACCUUUACCGAGUGUUUUCUUUUAUGCACUCGGUAAAAUACACUAAUAUUUCAUGUGCCUUCUUGAACAACAUGUUUUACAGAUCUUUUCCUAAUAUACUUGGACAAAAUCGUGUCAACAUCACUCAACAAUGUUUAAAUUAUUUUUCUACUGAUAAUGUUCUAUUAUUUCAUGCAGUUAUAGCGAAAAUUGCAUUUAUAUCUACUAAAAUUCUAUAAUUGCAUUUAAUCAAUAAAAAAUAGUAAACGCAUCCAAAAAAUUUCCAAAUUUUGACACGAACCAAUCUGUGUUGCAUGUUGCCUAUGCAAAAAGAUUUGAAGCCAAACGUUAACUCAAGUGUCACUUGGACUCCAAAUCUUAUUGUGUCCUCUCUAACUUCUAUGAAUCCUUCAAGGAGAUGCGUCGGCUUCUAAGCAUCAUAUGUCAGAAAUUGCGCAAAACCUUCUCAAUUUUUUACCACAGCCUCCACACAUAAUAUCAUGACAUCUUGACAAAUCUUGUGAUUUUCAGAUUUCGUUUGCUUUUUUUAGAAUUUAACCACCAUUCAACCACACGUUCGUGGUCGCAUUUUUUAAAAACAAUGUUGACAAUUUCUUUUCAUUUCCUGGUUGAGAACUCAAUCCGGACUCCAUAAUAUGGAUAUAAUUUUUCCACUGAUUAAAAACCAUCAUUUCAUGUACAUGCAGUUAAAAUCUGACAUGAAUAAAAAAAUUCUUAUUAAUGCAAUCAUUUCAUUAAAAAUAGCAAACAGACCACAAAAUAUACCAACUUUUCUUAUGGAUUACAAAAUGUCCUACGUGGGGAGUAGAAAAAGUGUGGAGGCUGGGGGAGGAUUUUUUUUUUGUUCGCCGAGUGCCAAAAUUUUACACUCGGCGAAGUACUGUGUUUGCCGAGUGUCCAGGCCUAGGCACUCGGCGAAUGGACACCUUUGCCGAGUGUCUUGUGCUGCCACUCGGCGACAUUCUCUAUUUGCCGAGUGUCGGAGGGCGGCACUCGGCGAACGGUUUCUUUGCCGAGUGUCGGAGUCCAACACUCGGCAAAGAACUAACGGCCGCCCCAGUCCGGUGACGGACGGCGCACGUGCGAUGCACGCGCCGUUGAUUUGCCGAGUGUCGGAAUGUUGCCGUGUGUCACUGAGAGGUUUGCCGAGUGUCGGAUUUAUGGCACUCGGCAAACGACCUCAUUGCCGAGUGUAAAUAUUUUGCCGAGUGCCGAGUUAAAUACACUUGGCAAAAAUGCCAUUUGCCGAGUGCCCGAAGGAAUGCACUCGGCAAAAUUUUUACACUCGGCGAAUUUACUGUUUCCGGUAGUGACUUGCAUGUAUUUGUGGUGCCGUUCUGUGAGCUGUUGCGAUAAAAGGAGCUAAGCCUCAGAGCGUUUCCUAGGAUCUGAAUGAAUUUUUCCUUCUUUUUUCUGCUGUCCAGAUCUACUUCUGAGGGAGUUGGAUAUAUUCUAAGGUGCUUGCCAAGUGUUCAAGAGAGGAUUCUGCUUGUUUUUCGUGCGUGUAUAAUGGAGCAACAAGUGGAGGAGGCGAACGGAGCAGCCGUGGAGACCUGCCACCGGGUGCUUGCUUUGCAGAAAAAAAUCAGAAAAAAAAGGCAGGCAGUCGCGUGCAUGCUCCCAGCAAGGAAAAUGAGGCAGAAAAAAAACAAAAAAAUGGCAGCUGCAUGCGCUGCAUGCAAAAAAAUAGCAGCUGCAUGCGCCCGCGCGAUCUGCAUGCGCCGGCCAGUCUGCAUGCGUCAGGAGAAGAAGUCCCACCUGCACACACCCUCCUUCCCACCCGGCCAGGCCCAGACGCAGGAGACAAGAGAUUAAAGAGGAUAGAUCGAAUCAAUAGCCAACUCCUCACGUCGUCCUCCCCUCCAAAUCGAGGUAUACCGCAAACCCUAGCCAUCCCCAAUCCGGCCGCCGCGUCUACCGAUCCGUUAGAUUCAUGGCCGCCGCCGCUGCCGGCGACUCCGCUGUACCCAACUGGGUGAUGCUGGAGCGCUUGGCCUUCCGGAGGGACGACCCCGCCUCCUUCCGCGAGGACAGGAGGACCUUCGCUUCCGGCACCACCUCCGCCGGCACUCAAUUCGACGUCUCCUUCAUCCUCGCCGAGCCUCCCACCCCCUCGCGCCUCUACCUCUCGUGGCCGGAAGGGCCCAAGCAGGGGAGCCAGGGCCUGGUCAUGGCGGCCAACCGCAACCUCGUCCUCCUCAGGCUCGAGUACCGCGUCGACGAAUCCGUGCAAUUCGGGGAGGUAGUGCAUGAUUACUUCAUCUACAUAGCUGAUCCCUCCUCACAGCGGAAACCCCUGCUCAGACGGCUGCCCCGCUGCACCGAGUACAACGAUUAUUUUGAGAGGCAAGUUACUCGCGCGUUUCCGGUGCUGGCUGUUGGUCUGUUGUGCCAUGGCGAAGACGAGUUUGCCGUGGCGCAUCUGGCCAUCAGGCCUCGCAAAAAAAAAUCAGGGUCUCGCAUAAAAAAAUCAGCUAUGCAAGCUGAGCUAUGCGUGCUACGCUCGUCAUUGUCCAGCAGUGAUGAUGCCAAAUGGGAGACCAAGGUCUUUCCGCUACAGUACCAAUACGAUGAUUUAUACUAUGAUUUUCUGAACUGGGAAGUGGAUGGUGUAGUUCCCUUCAAGAAUGCCUUGUGCUGGGUUAACUACUGUAGAGGCAUCCUUUUCUGCGAUGGCGUCUUUGAAGACAGACCCAAGGUCUCCUACAUCCGCUUGCCUCUGGAUACUUAUUUCCGAGGGACUGAUGCCGAUGGACGCAAGGGGAUGUACCAUGGCUUGUGUGUCACUGAAGGUGGCCAUCGGUUGGUAUUUGUUGAUGUUGCCCGUCAUGAUGGAAAAUGUUAUGGCCCGAGGAUGCCCAACACUGGUUUCACCCUCACCUCCCGGACAUUGAAGAUGACAGGGAAUUGCACCACGCCGUGGGAGUGGAAUCAGGAUGCUGUUGUCACUUCAGAUGAACUAUGGCAUGCAAACACCAUGGAGAGUCUCCCUCGUGACAUUGUGAUGCUCCCAUUGCUGAGUAUGGAUAAGGCCAAUGUUGCGCACCUUUCAUUGCUUGAAUGGGAUGGUGGCAGAUUCUCAUUAGUUUCCAUCGACUUGAGUAACAUGCAAGUGAUGGGCCCAGUCAUUACAUACCUCAAAGGGGAGGAUGAUACUGCUGAUGCUGACAUCGUCAAGGCAAAGCAAGGAUUAUGUGCACACUUUAUUCCAUCCGAAUUCCCCAAGUUCCUGGAUCUCAGGUAGCUUCAGCGUUGCCUCCCACUUUUACUUGAGCACAAUUUUUUUUCAUGCAGCCUUUUGCUCUCUUUUUUUCAGCAGUUAAGGUUUCUGCCAUGUUAUUCUUGAAACCUUUGAGGAAUCAACAGAAUGUGCUGGUUGCUGGGAGUAAUAUGGAUCAAUGUUUUCAAAUCUUUAUGUUGAGUCUAGUCACUGGGGUACAAUUAGAUGGCUAAUCGUGACUAGGCAACGAUUAAAUUUGCGAUUAGCUUUGAGACCAGUCGAUCCACCCUUGCCUAUAGUAGAGAAUGAUAGAGUAUAACACAAAGGUGACGAACUGAUCUCUUGGUUUGAGCCCAACACAUAAUUGUUCUACGUGGGUUCUUCAAUCUGAAAGUGCAUAAGCGUGCCAGCGUUGUGCUUUGUUUCCUUCACUAUUUUGAUUCUACAUGUCAAAUUAUUGAAAGGUUUUGUUCAGUUACCAACAACAUGGAUCCUUAGAAGUAGGUGGCACCCAGCGAAUCAGCAUCAUAUCGAAGAACCCCUAGGUCUUCUAAACAAACUGGCUGGAAUUGUGGAAAUCAAUUAAACUUAAUUAUAUCCAAAUUUUUUUUCUUGUCAAAUUGAUGUGUUAGCAACCAUACUGACACUCAAAACAUCACUUAUUUGUAACAUAACGUUGCGGUAUUACAAUUGUUGUUCCGAUUCUCACGGGUUUGUUCAAAGGUUAUUUCAUUUUAUUUUAAUUUCUUUUCAAAUCCUAAUAAUUAAGACCUGCAAGAUUGGUCUACAAAACGUCCUGGUUUAACCACUAGUGAAAACUCUCUCUUUUUCUGCCCUUUCCAGAACGUGCCAACGCGUACAUGCUGCUGCUGUAUCUUUGUCGAGUCCGAUGGAAGAGUUUAAAACCGGUAUCAAUUUUUGAAUAUUUAAAACCAUACGAUCCCUUGAGAAUGUGUUAGGCCUAAUUUUGCUACUAGAAUAUUUAUUAUUUAUGUGUUCAGAUAUUAACAACCUGCAAUUUGUCACCUUUUUUUGCAGGAACAGUAAUCUGUCACUUCUCAUGGUUGGAUUGAAAUGUGAUGAUUGUUGAUAGGUUUGCUAAACAGAUGGAAGUUGGAGGUGUGACUACUUGAAUCAAUGGGUAAUAGCAAAAAAAAAACAUUGAUCUACUUAAGCAGGAAAGAAAAUAAUAAUACUGACGCUAGUCACAAGCAAGUAAUGUUUUGAGUCAUGUGCAAUUAACCAUUACAUUUUUUUUUGCAAAUUACUACCUAAUGUUCUUUCAGAUACAAACACAUAUCAAGAUUAUUUAGCCUUCUUAAUUUAUGAUUAACAAUUUAUUCUAAAGAUUUGUGGAGCACUACUCAAUUUAUAUUACAGAAUACUUUUACAUCAUGCCAAUAUUAUUAUCAUGAGUAAUACAACUCAUGAUAUAUUGACGGUCAAAUUAUGAGUUUAGAGAUCGACCGCACUAUGUUUGUAUCAGAAAAUGGUUUUACAAAGCUGUAGUAUUGUAGUGUUUUACAAAACAAAGAAAUGUCAAAUUAUCUGUUAACGAUGAAUCAUGACCGGAGUCCAGCGCAAGCACUAAAACUAGAAUGGUCGUUCUGAUUCUCAUAGUUUUCUUAAAGGUUCAUUUGGUGUUUUGUUAAGUAAAAUAUACUCUUACGGUGUCAUCUAGAUCAAUAAACUCUCAAAAUAUAUUUUCAGGUCGCCAAAUUAUCUCAAGGUGUCAUAUGGGUCCUAAACUCUCAAAGUACAUAUUUAGAUCCCAAACUUGUCCUCGGUUUUCAUCCAGGACCCUAAAUUCUCAAAAUACAGUUUUAAAUAUUAAAACUUGUCACCUAUGGCUGAUGGUAAUGAUUACUCCUCGCUUAUUGCCUUCAUAACCACCUUAUGCUAGUGAUCAUGCUUGUGUUGCUUGGCGCUCGAUUGGGAGAUCUUAAAAUGUACUUUGAGAGUUUAAGAACUCGGAUGACACCCCGAGAUAAUUUUGGGUACCUGUGUUUUGAGAGUUUAGCUUGCCUGAACAUGUAUUUUGAGAGUUUAGGGACCUAGAUGACACCCAGUUCAGGAACCAUGCAAAUAUUUUACUUUUUUUUAACUCAAAUACGAAUAAUUAAUCCCCCCAAGAUUAUUGGACUAUAACACGUCCUUGUUUCAGUAGCGAAAAUAAUUAAGCUCCGCAAGAUUAUUGGACCAUAACACGUCCUUGUUUCAGUAGCAAAAUCUCUUUUUAAUUUGUUACCUUUCCGGAACGUGGCAGCGCGAGAAGUUGUACGAGUCAUGAGUGUGGCUUUCGUAGUUGUCGGUCGAGGUCUCCCUGGACGAACAAGUGGCGAGUACAUCCCUGGAAUAAUCCACACCAGACCGCCGGCCGGUGAGUCACGGAGGCCAUAACUGCGACGGCAGGCAAUGCAAUCCCACCGUGGUGACGCGCCCUCUCCGUCGGCGCGCCGGGCACGGAGGACGAGCCAGGCAACCGUCCCCGGUGGCCGGCGAUGAUGGCGGACGGCCGGGGUUAUCCUCCCGGCGAUGAUUCGUUGCGGAUUAUUGGCUUCGCGCGCCGCCUCUCGCUCUCAGCCGGAGAUCAAUCAGGCAAACACUAACGAACUGUGCUAAUCCUGAUCUCCUUCUUCCUAGUACGUGGACCUGCCUGUGAUCACGGGUGGUGCGCGCGGCGGAGGUACGGCGGUGGUUCACGCGUGGCCGUUGCACGCCCGGCGCGGCGCGGCUCUGACCGGCUUGACGGCCGCCGCUGGUGGGUGGAAAUGGCGCGGCCAGGUAGAGCUGGCAUCGGCGCAUGGCGGCGGCGGGGCUCGGACGCGGCGAGAGGGAACGUGCGGCGCCGCCAGCGCGCGCGUGGUGUUUCUCGCGGCUUGCUACGAGUACCGAGUGGCCGGGGAGUCAGCCUCUCUGUGCAAACGGAACAUGCUGUGUUUGGUUGGUGAACGCGGCUGGACGACGACGACGACGACGCGUGCAAGCACAGACGAAUUGGACGACGACGACCACUGGCUUUUGAGGUCACGUAACAGGCCGAAGAGGUCAUCUUCCACAUUUGGUGGCGAGGCUUAUCUCUUGCGGUAGUAUAUAUUUUUCGAAUGGCUUGUCAAAAAGAAAAAAAAAGAAUAAUUAAAAAGAGAGAAGGGUGCCUACGCUGUGCAAUGGGCCCAGAAAGAUGUGAUAAGGGGCCCACCGCUUGAAAUGAGUAAUGAUGCCUUGCGCGCUCGAAAUGGAAUAGAAUCUUUUAGUCAACAAAAAUUAUAGGAUGGUUGAAAUUUUGAAAGAGUUUAUACUCUAUAAUUUGUAAAUUUUGAUUGAAGUAUCUCUUGAUGCCUACAGUCGAGGCUGCUGCAGAGAGAUUGCGUCCUGGUGCUUUUUCUAGGAUUAGAAGCUUUUAGUUUAAAUGCAUUUUCCUAUUCAUUUUGCAUGGUACAUGUUUUUGGCACCAGAUCAUCACCCAAGAUCACCAUUAUUUAACUCAAGGUCGAGCAUCUAUCCUUCCUUUUUUUUUUUGGAUUUAACUUGGUUUGAAUCAUAUCGAUACUUCUUUUUUUGGAUUUUGCAGAUUCCAGCUCCAACCUGAGGUGCUGUUCUUCCUGGCCUGGUGUAUUACUUCAGGUGAUGUCCUAAAAGAACAAUGGAAUUGUCCCUCUGAUAACUAUUUUGAUAAGAUUUUCCAUUCCCUACCUUGGCCCUCUUAUUUCUCCGGCAGUCUAGCACGAUAGAUGACUUGAUUGAAGCAUUAAGUAAAGUGGUAAUUGAAUGGUUAGUAUUACGGUUCAUACCAUGGACUUUAUCGUCUUGCUGCAGUUUUCCAGUGGUUGCAACUUAUUGAUAUGCCACUUUUUCAUAAACAUGAUUGUCAAGUGGUCACAUUGUGAAAGAUGAUUUUCUGAAGGGGACCCAAAAGCCUGAAUAACUUUCUAGGAUACUAACCUCCGGCCUAAACCAUGUUAGGCGCUCUUCUUUGAGCAGAGAUAUGCUGUGAAUCAAUUUUUUCUUGACUUUUAUGAAGGCUUGGUUCAUCUCGCAGAUGUAGGAUAAGAGCAAGAGGAUGACUCAACCUAUGGCCCCAAUUGAUCUGCUGCACAGAUAUACUUUGCUCUCUUAUGCGGUUAUUUAUUGGAUUUUUAGCUGGCCAAUAUUAGAAAAUCGUAUGCUUCUUAAUCAUAAAAGCUGAUCUCUUGCUCACUCUGAAUGAUAGCAUUUGUACUCAAGUGUCGUUUGUGUUCCUGUGGCAGAGACCUUUUGAUCUCAGGUAUUCCUAUAAUUAUGUCUACAUAAGUAGCAUGUGGCAUCAGAGCCAAGAAACUUGACCGAUUCAGCAAAAUUAUAAGUAAAUUUUGUAUGCAGACUUUUGGUGCUGCUGCUUCCUUGGGCAUGUGUGGUUUCUGAAACAACUUAGAGACUUCAAGUAUGCCCUCUCAGUAUAGGUUUCACACAGCUUUCUUCUUCGGAUCAUAUUAAAAACUUUUCAUGUCUCUAUGAAUCCCUAUUUUUAUCUGCCACGCCACUUAUUCUUUUUUCUAUCCUGCAUACAAUUGUGCACUUUUAUUGUGUAUACACACAUGAUAGUCAUUUUCAGUGCCAUUUUUAUUAUGUAUUUCCAGCAGAGCAGCAUAGUUGAUCACCUAAUUAAAAUACUCAUCACAGUAAGAAAGCAGAUUGCUCAUGGUAUGUUGCUAAUUUCUCAUGAGCUUAUAGGUGAAUGAUCAUAUGUUUCAAUAUUCUUCCUCUUAGACUACGCCACAUUUUUUUUUAGCUUGGUACAUCAAGCUGUGCACAGUAAACAUAUGAGAUACAUUCAUACCGAUUCCAUGUCAUUAUUGGCUUGUUUAUGCUAUCUUCUACUACAUGACAUACAUGAACAUGUAACCGUACAACAAUGUGCGCGCAUGUAACCAGUACUAGUGCCCUUUAUUUUACAGAGAGAGCUGAAUGCUGUCGACUGAAAUGUCACUGGUUCAAAAAGAAGCGCGCACAGCUCUCUGCAUGACUUUACACCCCUAGCAACUAGCAUCAUCAGCAACAAAUUGGUUACCAGCCAUGUCAACAUAUCAGGACUGCUGCUGCUUUUUCCUGCUGACGAUGAAACAGCAGAGCGACAGGUACAGUUAACGGCAGUGAACAGUGAUUAAGACCGACCAGGGACUGCGACCCAUCUAUCUGGUCUCACCAACUGAAUUGCAGAAUAAAUGGAUAAAAUUCCAGGUAAAUGGAUUGUCAAAAAAGGCUCAUCUCUUCUUGCAGCACUUUUCCCUUUUCAGGUCCCAUCACAGAAUGGCUUAUCAAUCAAAAAGAAAAAGAAAGAAACAAAGGUGGAUGCUGUGCAAUGGGUCCAAGAAAGCUGUGAUGGGGGCCCAUCACUCAACGAGUGAAUGAUGCCUCGUGGGCUCGAAAUGGAAUAAAGCUUGCCUGCCCUUAAGCUUAAACCUAACAGUUGAGAAAGAUGCUAAUCAGGAAUCACACUCAAAUUAAGGGCCCCUCGCCUGAAUGAAAAUAGAAUAAAGCACAAUUAUUAAAAAAAAUAGAAUAAAGCAACAAAGUUCCUUCAUUCUCAAAUGAUGAGCGCCAAAAAGAGUUCCCUCCCGCUUCACGCAAGGGAAUAACCAUGGCCUCAGAUGAAGCACUGCCUUUUUAAUCCAGUGUCAACGGUAGACAAGAGAUCCAUAAAGGAAGCAAUGGAUUUUUAAUCCUGGAUAUGCUGAGAGACAGUGCGGUUUAUCCGUUGUUGUCCUUUCUGGGUCCCAAAAAUGGAUUGUCAACUGAAUGAACGAUUGAAUGAAAUGCCUUGUGGGCUAAAGAGGCUAUAAAGAAAGAUUGCCUGCCACUAGGAGUAUACGCACUGCAACGCCCUAGAUGCUUAAACUUAACUGUUACCAAAACAAUCAGACCCUAAUCAUAGCAUGAUACCAUUCAUCGUUCAAGUACAUUUACCUUGCAUUGGAAGUAUCAGUGGUGUCCUAUAAUCCUUAUUAAACGGAUGGUCCGUGUUCCAUAUAUGUCACUUAGCUAGAAAAUUUUAUUCAUAAAGCAAAAAGAACUCAAAAGGUACUUAUUCGUUCUUACAAAUUGAUGAAGUUCAAGAGAAGUAUUAAGACGGGAGCAUAGAAUAGUACAGUUUUCCACAGCUCAUGUUUCUCAUCUGAAUAAACCUUAUAAAACAUAUGAGGUAUCCACACUAUCCUGACAUGCUAGAAUAAAAGAAGCAGAUGAUACAAGCGACAUGGGUAGGAGCCCCAAGGUCAAGCUAAAAGCACGAAAGAUAUUAAGAUAACUAGCUCAGUCCAGCGUACAAAAACAAUUGAGUAGUCUCAUUAUUCUUUGUUGCUCGGGAAAUUUGGAAGCACAGCAAUAGCCCGAUCUUCCGAUAGGUAUGGAUAAUUUAAUUGGUGGAGAACUCAAUAUUGAUGAUCCGGACUUCUAAUCAGACACGAUUUGAACCCCUGCAACCGCUACACCGCUGCUUCGUUGGUUAUCAAUCAAGCACAACUCUAUUGACCUCGCCAAGAAGGCUUUCCCUACGGGCGAAUCGAAGAACACAAACAAGAAAGUAUAAACACGCAAUCUGAAAUUGCAGAUGUAUAUAAAAUAGAUCCGAGUAAAAGGUUCAAGCUCUCGAUUCGAAAAGACUAAUCGACACAAUCAAGGAGAUCAAGAACAUGAGCCUUGGAUCACAAUAAAAGGACUUGUUGCCACAAUUACAAUGAAUCAAUCUCAGUUUCUCAAUGAAAAACUAAAACUAAAUAAAACUCGAGUCUUUCAAGUGGCGGCUACUAAGUUUAUAUGAAAAAAGGGCAAGCUAGGGUUGGGGACGACCAGGAGAGGGGCGCCCACAACAUUGGCUUAAAGCCCGACACGAAGGUCAACUUGGCCAAAAACUGGUGAUAAAGCACCUUGUCAUGGUCACACAGAAUAAUCCAUGACGCUUCUAGAGCUAGGGUCAGAAUCAAAUGAAAGGUUUCGUCAUUUUCUUUCAUUUUCUUUCUAGCGCAUUAAAGAAUGUCUCGUUUCGAUAUCGUAAGAAGGAGAUAUUGCUAUUUUUGUGCAGGGUGGUUGGCUGAAUUCGAACCGAACGCGAACAUCAAGUUGGUGACAACUUGUAACUUGGAGAAGGCCGAGGCUCAUACGUAUCCAUCAUGGUGAUGUCCUUAUCAGUAAAAUAUAUAUAAAUUAACAAGCAUAGAUAUUAUACGAAUUAACCAAAUUAAAACUAUAUAGUAAAUUAGCACGGGCUAAAAUAAUUUUGAGCUAAAUAAAUAUAGGGUUGGAUUGUGAAAAAGAUACGAGGGUCAUGAUCCAUUACCGCUCGCACCGCACAUCGAUUAAAAGGUGGGCCGAAACAGAUAAAGGACAAAAAAGAAUCAUAUCGGCCCACAAAUGAAAUGUUAGACAGAAGAACGCGAAUCUUGAAAACAUAUGGGCCGUUCAAAACCGACGGAAAUGAGCCCAUAUUUAUUAGCCGGCUAAAUUAUACGGAGGAAGAGAUUUCAAAUGGUGAAAAGGAAAGGAAAAAAAAAAAGGCAAUCUGGGCUAAUCUUUCUACGUGCUGGGCUGAUCACAUGUGAGCCGAUACAGACACGUCAGGCCACCCGCACACACUCCUUCCCACCCGGCCGGGCCCACACGCAGGAUUGCAGAGGAUAGAUCGAAUCAAUAGCCAACUCCUCUCGUCGUCCUCGCCUCCAAAUCGAGGCAUACCCCAAACCCUAGCCAUCCCCAAUCCGGCCGCCGCGUCUACCGAUCCGUUAGAUCCAUGGCCGCCGCCGCUGCCGGCGACUCCGCUGUACCCAACUGGGUGAUGCUGGAGCGCUUGGCCUUCCGGAGGGACGACCCCGCCUCCUUCCGCGAGGACAGGAGGACCUUCGCUUCCGGCACCACCUCCACCGGCACUCAAUUCGACGUCUCCUUCAUCCUCGCCGAGCCUCCCACCCCCUCGCGCCUCUACCUCUCGUGGCCGGAAGGGCCCAAGCAGGAGAGCCGGGGCCUGGUCAUGGCGGCCAACCGCAACCUCGUCCUCCUCAGGCUCGACUCCCUCAUCGACGAAUCCGAUCCUUUCGGGGAGGUAGUGCAUGAUUACUUCAUCUACAUAGCUGAUCCCUCCUCACAGUGGACACCCCUGCUCAGACGGCUGCCCCCCUGCACCGAGUACGACGAUUAUUUUGAGAGGCAAGUUACUCGCGUUUUGCCGGCGCUGGCUGUUGGUCUGUUGUGCCAUGGCGAAGACGAGUUUGCCGUGGCGCAUCUGGACAUCAGGUCUCGCAAAAAAAAAUCAGGGUCUCGCAAAAAAAAAUUACCUAUCCAAGCUGAGCUAUGCGUGCUACGCUCGUCAUUGUCCUGCAGUGAUGAUGCCAAAUGGGAGACCAAGAUCCUUCCGAUACAGUACCAAUACGAUGAUUUAUCCUCUGAUUUUCUGUACUGGUCAGUGGAUGGUGUAGUUCCCUUCAAGAAUGCCUUGUGCUUUGUUAACUACUGUAGAGGCAUCCUUUUCUGCGACGGCGUCUUUGAAGACAGCCCCAAGGUCUCCUACAUCCGCUUGCCUCUGGAUACUUAUAUCCGAGGGGCUGAUGGCGAAGCACGCAAGGGGAUGUACCAUGGCUUGUGUGUCACUGAAGGUGGCCAUCGGUUGGUAUUUGUUGAUGUUGCCCGUCAUGAUGGAAAAUCUUAUGGCCCGAGCAUGCCCAACACUGGUUUCACCCUCACCUCCCGGACAUUUAAGAUGACAGGGAAUUGCACCACGCCGUGGCAGUGGAAUGAGGAUGCUGUUGUCACUUCAGAUGAACUAUGGCAUGCAAACACCAUGGAGAGUCUCCCUCAUGACAUUGUGAUGCUCCCAUUGCUGAGUAUGGAUAAGGCCAAUGUUGCGCACCUUUCAUUGAUUGACUGGGAUGGUGGAUUCUCAUUAGUUUCCAUCGACUUGAGUAACAUGCAAGUCAUGGGCCCAGUCAUUACAUACCUCAAAGGGAAGGAUGAUACUGCUGAUGCUGACAUCGUCGAGGAAAAGAAAGGAUUAGGUGCACACUUUAUUCCAUCCGAAUUCCCCAAGUUCCUGGAUCUCAGGUAACUUCAGCGUUGCCUCCCACUUUUACUUGAGCACAAUUUUUUUUCAUGCAGCCUUUUGCUCUCUUUUUUUCAGCAGUUAAGGUUUCUGCCAUGUUAUUCUUGAAACCUUUGAGGAAUCAACAGAAUGUGCUGGUUGCUGGGAGUAAUAUGGAUCAAUGUUUUCAAGUCUUUAUGUUGAGUCUAGUCGCUGGGGUACCAACUAGAUGGCUAAUCGUGACUAGGCAACGAUUAAAUGGCGAUUAGCUAUGAGACCAGUCGAUCCACCCUUGCCUAUAGUAGAGAAUGAUAGAGUAUAACACAAAGGUGACGAACUGAUCUCUUGGUUUGAGCCCAACACAUAAUUGUUCUUUGUGGGUUCUUCAAUCUGAAAGUGCAUAAUAGCGUGCCAGCGUUGUGCUUUGUUUCCUUCACUAUUUUGAUUCUACAUGUCAAAUUAUUGAAAGGUUUUGUUCAGUUACCAACAACAUGGAUCCUUAGAAGUAGGUGGCACCUAGCGAAUCAGCAUCAUAUCGAAGAACCCCUAGAUCUUCUAAACAAACCGGCUGGAAUUGUGGAAAUCAAUUAAACUUAAUUAUAUCCAUAGUGCCUUCCUUGUAUAUCAUGUUUCAUUCUGCCAGUAGUAACCUCAGCAACUUGACGGUCUUGGGAAAUUAGGCAAUGGUAGUCUGCCUGAGGUUAAUAUAGGCCCUUUUUGUAUCCGCUUAUUUCCUGCUUAUCAAUGGAAAUAAGCGAUAAGCCCACCCAAACGCCUAGCUUAUUUCCCACUUACCUCCCAAGCCGCUUAGCCCACAAUCUGGAAAACAACUAGCGCCCCGCUUAUUCUCUAUGCGGUCUUGGGGCCGCUUCUUGGGCAAGCGAAGCGCUUUUUCCUGAUACCCUCACCCGUCCGCUGCCUGCCGCCCUCCGACCGUCGCCGGCUCCGUCCGCCGCCCGCCUGCCUCCACCGCUUCCCUGCACAAAUCCCAUGCAGAUCCCGUUGCCAUCAGUCACCAGCACUCCUGCCCAGAUCCCGUCGCCGCCGGUUCCGUUCGCUGCCCGCCGCCGGCCGACCCUACGCUUGGCCCCCUGUGCUUGGCCUCCGGCCGGCCCUGCUGUUCUUUUUUGUGAAGGAGGUGGCGGAGUGCUGGCCGUCUACUGCUGAGUGUUGGUCGUGAGCAGCAUUUGAGCUCGCCGUGCGUGCUGCCGUUGUUGUUGAGAAGGAGCUAGAUAUGGGUGCAUUGCGUCAUGUUAUUGCUGUCGCUAUGGUUCGUGAUUCGUUGUUGUACUCAUGAUGGAUGUUUCCAUACUAGACCGUUCUAUCAUAUGAAUUUCAUAUUAUUGUAAUGAAAUUUCUAUUUAACAAACUCCAAAAAUAUUGGAAUUAUUAUCUUCUCCUCAGAUUCACAAUAAAAAUGAGCUAUUAUCAGCCUCAGGGGCAUUCAGGUCAAUUUACCAGCCAGGACAGACAAUCGACACAAAAUAAUCAGGAUUGCCAAACACCCAGCUUAUACAGACAGCGGAUUCUCCAGACAGCAGGCAGGCUUUUAAGAUAAGCCUGCUUGCCAGAUAAGCGAGUUCAGAAAAGCGUAUACAAACAGGACCAUAAAUGUUGCACAGCUUAUUCUGUUGCCUAACUGUUGCUUGUCACGUUGAUCCCAAAAUCGACCAUAAGCUAAGUUAUUUUUUCUUAAUGACGUCCGAGGCACCUGAGAAUCUUUUAUAAUUCUUGGUAACCAUGGAUACUAUCAAAAUAACUUCAGCAAUGGGUGAAUCUAAGACUAUGGGAAGCCUAAAUUUCGAUUUGUACAGAUUAUCUCUGCUGAAAAAAAUUAUUGAAAUCAUCAGCAUGUGUUGUAGCUGACAAUUAUUGUUUCCUAUUUGUAUUGAUGAAGUUCUUGCUACUGUAUUGCAGGAAGAGAGAGAAUCAUCCAUAAGUCCUGUCACCAUAUCGGCUGGCCACCGUCGUCAUGUGUGUUGCUUCUUCAUUUUCCAGUUCUGUUGUGCUGGAUUCUACUGCCGACUUUGUUGAUUGGCUACUACAAUUCUGAGUUUAGUCCUCAGCUUUUGUGUGUUCCCUGCACUUGUGUACUAUAAAUAGCCAGGAAAAACACCUUUACCCGGCUCAUCCGUUGAACUAUAUGAUAAUGCUAGAUGAUGUGUCCAUGCCUUACUAACGUCUUCUACAUGCCAUGCGAGUUAAAAAUCCUGCAAUCAUGUUUCGUGGUAGCAGUUUACCUUUGCACAAUGAAACUCCUCACUAAACCACAGUUCAAUUUGAGGGACUACUGCGUUGUUUUUACAGGGAUCUAAUGCCAUCAAUCAAAUUGUAAAAUACAGACAGGUACGCGUGGAAUGGACACUUGUGUUCAUUCAGAUUUUUGUGAUAUUUCAUACCUAAUGAUUACCAGGUUGUCACGCCCCUACAUGCAAAAUUGGUCUACGAGAUGGGAUAUAAGCUCAAAAGGACGUGAGAGCUGUAUUAUCAUGUAGCUCAUGACCUGGCAGAAGUGAAUAGUUGCACGAAAUACAACAUUGCAAACAAGGUUUUUAUUCAUUUUCUCUGCUGAUGGCACAUGGUAGCAGAAGCAGUGCCACCAAUUGGUGAAAGAUUUUCAGUAAACUGAGUGUUUGACAGAACAAUAUGAUGCCACCAAAGCAAUCUGCAUGAGUUCUCUACCUCCGGAAGUCCAGAUGGUUGCUCUGUUUCAUUCCUCACCAUGGUCAUGGCAGGGCAUGAUGGCACCCCCCCCCUCCCUAGGCGGGGCGCGGAGGCUGCAGGUUCAACUCAGAGUUUAGACCUUAACUUGUUUGUGAGCAAUGCAGAAUGCUACAAAUGUAAUACAGUGGGCAUGCAUGAUGCUGAAACAAACUAGUGCAACUUUUAGUGGAACAAUUGAUGAAUUAUGAUGUGUUGUCCAAGUAAAGGAUCGGUGGUGUUGUUUUGCUGAUCUUUUAGCGAAAAUCUAGUGAUAGUGUGUGGAUAUAUAUCCUAAGUUCCUAAUAACUCAUAGAUGAACAAUGAAUGCUAUAUUGAAUUGAAGCCAUGUUUGUUCUAUUCAAAAUGCAGGGAGCAUGCUCGAGCGGGCUUGGGGGGUCAUGGAGGGUCUGCUAAUGCUGGCACAAAGCCAGACUGGUUCCUUGAAGGGUGAGUAAUUAAUAUCUUUGAUUCAUCUAAGCAGUGCAAAAGUGAUGUGCUUAAUGCCUUGGACAAUGAAGCACCAGCUACUUCUAUGUUUUUUCCACCAAGAUUAGCUCAUGAUUUUGUCACUUUUUCCCACAACCUGCAAGUUUUGAAGCACUUUACUUUUGCCAUGUUAGCCAAAAUUUGGAGACAAGUACAAAGAGUAAGGAUAACCAACUCAUUUCUAGUAUUGGAGCAUCAAAAUCUAGUUCUGGAGCAUCAAAAAGGUAAUACACAGAUCUUAAAAAAUUGGUCAUACUGCUAUUGCUAUUUUGUUGCUACUGUUAUUUUGUUGUCUUUUGUUCAAAUCUAGUUCUAGCAUACACAUGUCAAUAUCAGAUUCAAAUGAACCUCCGCCUACUGCUGCUCCAGUCAAGGCAAAGAGCAAAAGGAAAAAGGAGCCUACUAAAAUGAAAACCACCAUUUCUAUACUGCCACUUGACAGCCCUACAAUGGGCCAAAAAACAAAAGGGUGGAUCCUGCUAGCCCUGCAAUGAGCACAAGGAGCAAAAGAAGGCUCAGCCUGUGAUCCUUAUGAAUCUAUAAAUUUGGACUCCGCCAUGAAUCUUUUUAUAUAUCAACCUUUGUGUGUGAACUUGCAUGUGAAUUUGAACUCCUAUGUGAACUUGCAUGUAUUUGUGGUGCCGUUCUGUGAGCUGUUGCGAUAAAAGGAGCUAAGCCUCAGAGCGUUUCCUAGGAUCUGAAUGAAUUUUUCCUUCUUUUUUCUGCUGUCCAGAUCUACUUCUGAGGGAGUUGGAUAUAUUCUAAGGUGCUUGCCAAGUGUUCAAGAGAGGAUUCUGCUUGUUUUUCGUGCGUGUAUAAUGGAGCAACAAGUGGAGGAGGCGAACGGAGCAGCCGUGGAGACCUGCCACAGGGUGCUUGCUUUGCAGAAAAAAAUCAGAAAAAAAAGGCAGGCAGUCGCGUGCAUGCUCCCAGCAAGGAAAAUGAGGCAGAAAAAAAACAAAAAAAUGGCAGCUGCAUGCGCUGCAUGCAAAAAAAUAGCAGCUGCAUGCGCCCGCGCGAUCUGCAUGCGCCGGCCAGUCUGCAUGCGUCAGGAGAAGAAGACCCACCUGCACACACCCUCCUUCCCACCCGGCCAGGCCCAGACGCAGGAGACAAGAGAUUAAAGAGGAUAGAUCGAAUCAAUAGCCAACUCCUCUCGUCGUCCUCCCCUCCAAAUCGAGGUAUACCCCAAACCCUAGCCAUCCCCAAUCCGGCCGCCGCGUCUACCGAUCCGUUAGAUUCAUGGCCGCCGCCGCUGCCGGCGACUCCGCUGUACCCAACUGGGUGAUGCUGGAGCGCUUGGCCUUCCGGAGGGACGACCCCGCCUCCUUCCGCGAGGACAGGAGGACCUUCGCUUCCGGCACCACCUCCACCGGCACUCAAUUCGACGUCUCCUUCAUCCUCGCCGAGCCUCCCACCCCCUCGCGCCUCUACCUCUCGUGGCCGGAAGGGCCCAAGCAGGGGAGCCGGUGCCUGGUCAUGGCGGCCAACCGCAACCUCGUCCUCCUCAGGCUCGUCUCCCUCGUCGACGAAUCCGAGCCUUUCGGGGAGGUAGUGCAUGAUUACUUCAUCUACAUAGCUGAUCCCUCCUCACAGCGGACACCCCUGCUCAGACGGCUGCCCCCCUGCACCAAGUACAACAAUUAUUUUGAGAGGCAAGUUACUCGCGUUUUGCCGGCGCUGGCUGUUGGUCUGUUGUGCCAUGGCGAAGACGAGUUUGCCGUGGCGCAUCUGGACAUCAGGUCUCGCAAAAAAAAAUCAGGGUCUCGCAAAAAAAAAUCAGGUAUCCAAGCUGAGCUAUGCGUGCUACGCUCGUCAUUGUCCUGCAUUGAUGAUGCCAAAUGGGAGACCAAGAUCCUUCCGAUACAGUACCAAUACGAUGAUUUAUCCUAUGAUUUUCUGUACUGGGCAGUGGAUGGUGUAGUUCCCUUCAAGAAUGCCUUGUGCUUUGUUAACUACUGUAGAGGCAUCCUUUUCUGCGACGGUGUCUUUGAAGACAGCCCUAAGGUCUCCUACAUCCGCUUGCCUCUGGAUACUUAUAUCCGAGGGGCUGAUGGCGAAGCACGCAAGGGGAUGUACCAUGGCUUGUGUGUCACUGAAGGUGGCCAUCGGUUGAUAUUUGUUGAUGUUGCCCGUCAUGAUGGAAAAUGGUAUGGCCGGAGCAUGCCCAACACUGGUUUCAGCCUCACCUACCGGACAUUGAAGAUGUCAGGGAAUUGCACCACGUCGUGGGAGUGGAAUGAGGAUGCUGUUGUCACUUCAGAUGAACUAUGGCAUGCAAACACCAUGGAGAGUCUCCCUCAUGACAUUGUGAUGCUCCCAUUGCUGAGUAUGGAUAAGGCCAAUGUUGCGCACCUUUCAUUGCUUGACUGGGAUGGUGGAUUCUCAUUAGUUUCCAUCGACUUGAGUAACAUGCAAGUGAUGGGCCCAGUCAUUACAUACCUCAAAGGGAAGGAUGAUACUGCUGAUGCUGACAUCGUCAAGGAAAAGAAAGGAUUAUGUGGACACUUUAUUCCAUCCGAAUUCCCCAAGUUCCUGGAUCUCAGGUAACUUCAGCGUUGCCUCCCACUUUUACUUGAGCACAAUUUUUUUUCAUGCAGCCUUUUGCUCUCUUUUUUUCAGCAGUUAAGGUUUCUGCCAUGUUAUUCUUGAAACCUUUGAGGAAUCAACAGAAUGUGCUGGUUGCUGGGAGUAAUAUGGAUCAAUGUUUUCAAAUCUUUAUGUUGAGUCUAGUCCCUGGGGUACAACUAGAUGGCUAAUCGUGACUAGGCAACGAUUAAAUUUGCGAUUAGCUCUGAGACCAGUCGAUCCACCCUUGCCUAUAGUAGAGAAUGAUAGAGUAUAACACAAAGGUGACAACUGAUCUCUUGGUUUGAGCCCAACACAUAAUUGUUCUUUGUGGGUUCUUCAAUCUGAAAGUGCAUAAUAGCGUGCCAGCGUUGUGCUUUGUUUCCUUCACUAUUUUGAUUCUACAUGUCAAAUUAUUGAAAGGUUUUGUUCAGUUACCAACAACAUGGAUCCUUAGAAGUAGGUGGCACCCAGCGAAUCAGCAUCAUAUCGAAGAACCCCUAGGUCUUCUAAACAAACCGGCUGGAAUUGUGGAAAUCAAUUAAACUUAAUUAUAUCCAUAGUGCCUUCCUUGUAUAUCAUGUUUCAUUCUGCCAGUAGUAACCUCAGCAACUUGACGGUCUUGGGAAAUUAGGCAAUGGUAGUCUGCCUGAGGUUAAUAUAGGUCCUUUUUGUAUCCGCUUAUUUCCUGCUUAUCAAUGGAAAUAAGCGAUAAGCCCACCCAAACGCCUAGCUUAUUUCCCGCUUACCUCCCAAGCUGCUUAGCCCACAAUCUGGAAAACAACUAGCGCCCCGCUUAUUCUCUAUGCGGUCUUGGGGCCACUUCAUGGGCAAGCGAAGCGCUUUUUCCUGAUACCCUCACCCGUCCGCUGCUUGCCGCCCUCCGACCGUCGCCGGCUCCGUCCGCCGCCCGCCUGCCUCCACCGCUUCCCUGCACAAAUCCCAUCCAGAUCCCGUUGCCAUCAGUCACCAGCACUCCUGCCCAGAUCCCGUCGCUGCCGGUUCCGUUCGCUGCCCGUCGCCGGCCGACCCUACGCUUGGCCCCCUGUGCUUGGCCUCCGGCCGGCCCUGCUAUUCUUUUUUGUGAAGGAGGUGGCGGAGUGCUGGCCGUCUACUGCUGAGUGUUGGUCAUGAGCAGCAUUUGAGCUCGCCGUGCGUGCUGCCGUUGUUGUUGAGAAGGAGCUAGAUAUGGGUGCAUUGCGUCAUGUUAUUGCUGUCGCUAUGGUUCGUGAUUCGUUGUUGUACUCAUGAUGGAUGUUUCCAUACGAGACCGUUCUAUCAUAUGAAUUUCAUAUUAUUGUAAUGAAAUUUCUAUUUAACAAACUCCAAAAAUAUUGGAAUUAUUAUCUUCUCCUCAGAUUCACAAUAAAAAUGAGCUAUUAUCAGCCUCAGGGGCAUUCAGGUCAAUUUACCAGCCAAGACAGACAAUCGACACAAAAUAAUCAGGAUUGCCAAACACCCAGCUUAUACAGACAGCGGAUUCUCCAGACAGCAGGCAGGCUUUUAAGGCCCUGUUUGUUUCCGCUUAUAAGCGGCUUAUCGGUGGAAAUAAGUGAGAAUCCCGCCAAACACUUUGCUUAUUUCCACCGAUUCUCGCUUCUGUGGUAAGCCGCUUCAGAAAUUUGAACUACGAGAAGCGAAAAGCGAGAAGCAAGAAAAUCUUCGCUUAGAUUAUAAUCCAAGCGUGGCUAGAAGAAGCGUAUACAAACAGGACCUAAGAUAAGCCUGCUUGCCAGAUAAGCGAGUUCAGAAAAGCGUAUACAAACAGGACCAUACAUGUUUCACAGCUUAUUCUGUUGCCUAACUGUUGCUUGUCACGUUGAUCCCAAAAUCGACCAUAAGCUAAGUUAUUUUUUCUUAAUGACGUCCGAGGCACCUGAGAAUCUUUUAUAAUUCUUGGUAACCAUGGAUACUAUCAAAAUAACUUCAGCAAUGGGUGAAUCUAAGACUAUGGGAAGCCUAAAUUUCGAUUUGUACAGAUUAUCUCUGCUGAAAAAAAUUAUUGAAAUCAUCAGCAUGUGUUGUAGCUGACAAUUAUUGUUUCCUAUUUGUAUUGAUGAAGUUCUUGCUACUGUAUUGCAGGAAGAGAGAGAAUCAUCCAUAAGUCCUGUCACCAUAUCGGCUGGCCACCGUCGUCAUGUGUGUUGCUUCUUCAUUUUCCAGUUCUGUUGUGCUGGAUUCUACUGCCGACUUUGUUGAUUGGCUACUACAAUUCUGAGUUUAGUCCUCAGCUUUUGUGUGUUCCCUGCACUUGUGUACUAUAAAUAGCCAGGAAAAACACCUUUACCAGGCUCAUCCGUUGAACUAUAUGAUAAUGCUAGAUGAUGUGUCCAUGCCUUGCUAACGUCUUCUACAUGCCAUGCGAGUUCAAAAUCCUGCAAUCAUGUUUCGUGGUAGCAGUUUACCUUUGCACAAUGAAACUCCUCACUAAACCACAGUUCAAUUUGAGGGACUACUGCGUUGUUUUUACAGGGAUCUAAUGCCAUCAAUCAAAUUGUAAAAUACAGACAGGUACGCGUGGAAUGGACACUUGUGUUCAUUCAGAUUUUUGUGAUAUUUCAUACCUAAUGAUUACCAGGUUGUCACGCCCCUACAUGCAAAAUUGGUCUACGAGAUGGGAUAUAAGCUCAAAAGGACGUGAGAGCUGUAUUAUCAUGUAGCUCAUGACCUGGCAGAAGUGAAUAGUUGCACGAAAUACAACAUUGCAAACAAGGUUUUUAUUCAUUUUCUCUGCUGAUGGCACACGGUAGCAGAAGCAGUGCCACCAAUUGGUGAAAGAUUUUCAGUAAACUGAGUGUUUGACAGAACAAUAUGAUGCCACCAAAGCAAUCUGCAUGAGUUCUCUACCUCCGGAAGUCCAGAUGGUUGCUCUGUUUCAUUCCUCACCAUGGUCAUGGCAGGGCGUGAUGGCACCCCCCCCUCCCCAGGCGGGGCGCGGAGGCUGCAGGUUCAACUCAGAGUUUAGACCUUAACUUGUUCGUGAGCAAUGCAGAAUGCUACAAAUGUAAUACAGUGGGCAUGCAUGAUGCUGAAACAAACUAGUGCAACUUUUAGUGGAACAAUUGAUGAAUUAUGAUGUGUUGUCCAAGUAAAGGAUCGGUGGUGUUGUUUUGCUGAUCUUUUAGCGAAAAUCUAGUGAUAGUGUGUGGAUAUAUAUCCUAAGUUCCUAAUAACUCAUAGAUGAACAAUGAAUGCUAUAUUGAAUUGAAGCCAUGUUUGUUCUAUUCAAAAUGCAGGGAGCAUGCUCGGGCGGGCUUGGGGGGCCAUGGAGGGUCUGCUAAUGCUGGCACAAAGCCAGACUUCUAAGCAGUGCAAAAGUGAUGUGCUUAAUGCCUUGGACAAUGAAGCACCAGCUACUUCUAUGUUUUUUCCACCAAGAUUAGCUCAUGAUUUUGUCACUUUUUCCCACAACCUGCAAGUUUUGAAGCACUUUACUUUUGCCAUGUUAGCCAAAAUUUGGAGACAAGUACAAAGAGUAAGGAUAACCAACUCAUUUCUAGUAUUGGAGCAUCAAAAUCUAGUUCUGGAGCAUCAAAAAGGUAAUACACAGAUCUUAAAAAAUUGGUCAUACUGCUAUUGCUAUUUUGUUGCUACUGUUAUUUUGUUAUCUUUUAUUCAAAUCUAGUUCUAGCAUACACAUGUCAAUAUCAGAAUUAAAUGAACCUCCGCCUACUUGUUGGGGGGAAAUAUUAACGAUCCCCUAAAUACCGCUUAAAGGAGCAGACGCGAAGGCCCGAGCCCACCUAAGCAUAAUCAAAACUCCGCCUCGCCCGACCGCGGCCUCAGGGUCGGGAACGCCCGACCGUCCUCCACGAGGCUUCCGCCUCGUCCGACUGCGGCCUCGGGGUCGGAGGCGCCCGACCCCUCGCCACAAGGGUCCACCUCGUCCGACCCCAAGCGCAGGGGUCGGGCUCGCUAGGGCCCCCAGGGCGCGCAUCCCCCUCGGAUGCGGACCAGGUGGGCAAGAUAAACAAUCCUGUGGAUCCCCCCUGUCGGCCUCGCCAUAAAUGCGCCGCAGGCCUGGCAGAGGGAAGGAUGACCGCGCUCCUCACGCAACCCGCCGCAAGUACCCAUGCACGACCAUACUUUACAAGCUACAGUGCUGGCGGCUCACUUCCAUUCGCCGCAGGGUACUCAUGGCCUGCGCCGACUGGAGCGGAGGAGAGACUGGCCUGUCCUCAGGCCCCGCGCGCCCUCGGGUCCCGCGCGCCCGGCAGCAAGGAGGUGACGCCCUCUCUCCAGGAGCGAUCAUCAGAACGGUAGCAUCCACCGUCCUCCCCAACGGACACCAGGAUAACGACGAAACGCCUUCAUCAUAACCCGACGCCUACGAAUGCCGAAGGAGCUAUCUGUAGGGAGCGACGACAGUUGGCACACGACCGCCUCCCCCUCCGGCAUGCACGCCGGCGCUCGUCAGGGGCCGACGGAGGCGUCGGGCGUCUAGGAACUUGUUCCUCCCUUCCUGCCGUAUUUUUUACCGUACUACGUUUACACUUUACGGUCCUCUUCGCCCGAUCCCAGCUGUAAUUCCGGCCACUCCCCUUGCGAUAUAAAAGGAGGAACCCGGGGCCGGAGGAGGGGAUCGGCUUCUUCUUCCCCAAGCCAUAGCACAAUACGACGCUCCCUGAGAGCACAAGCACAAAGAGACUUGGGACCAGUCCCUCUCUCGUCGAUCUGUAACCCCUACUACAGAACCCCGCGUGGGCAAUACGAGCAUCCACGAUACUGGACGUAGGGCUUCCUUUGCCCGAACUAGUCUAACCCGUGUCUCCCACGCCACCACCUGAGGCCUUACGCGCAUAAAAGAAAUUUACUAGUCUAAGUCUUGAUCCGCCAAUCUUGACAACGACAGUUGGCGCGCCAGGUAGUGGACCUUUGCGCGUACAUUCCCAGCCUCAGAUGGCCAAUUACGAUAGUAGCUUUGCUUCGGGCUCCCUGAUCCGAUUCGGGAGCCUGGACUUCCUCGCCACCGGGGAAGGGAUCAAGCUGAUCCCUGUCCUCGUCCUGCCCGCUCGCCCGGCUGCCCCCGACCCCGCCGCCGGGACAGCGGCGAGCGGCCGCUCGCAUACCGGAAGGACCUCGCCAGGGGGACGGCCCUUCGGGCUACGCAACGCCACGGGGGCUUACGGGCGCCUCCUAGCACGGUCCAUGACCGCGUCGCCCGCGAGCAACGAGCUCGUAGGCGCGACGAGGACGAUCUCCGACACAGGCUCCAGCAGCGAGAGCCCCCACCCCUCGUGUGAGUGCCUCGUGGUCGACGCGCACUCCGAGGGAUCCAACGGCAACGAUGCCGAGGGGAGACAAAGGGCUCCCCCCUCGCGCGCCGCGGCUACGACCGGAGCCUUACCAAGGGUGCUGGAGUGCUCUCAGCAACCGGAGGCGCGCGCAGGCGCCCGCCAAGAAGUCAAGCACCCCCACCACGAGGGUGGAGCACGACAACGGGCGCACGACGUCCAACAACGCAUCUGCGCAGACAGAGAGUGUCCGCAGCUCUUCGCCCGCGCCAGCCAAAAUGUCGCAGCCGCGGCGGUGUUGCUCCGACAGCUCCCCGAACCAGCAACGCCCGAGGAACGACGGGCACGCCAAGAGAUGCGCAACCUCCUCGAAUGCGCCACCGUCCAGCAGGCGGAAAGUUCCGCGUCCCGACGACGCGGGCAAGACGCCAGCAGGGCGACGCCCGAUGGGCCCCCGGAAAGGCGGGGGGAAUCUGUCCAUCAACCCCCUCCUGGGGCAAAUCAGGCCGCGUCCGCCUGAUGGACUCCACCACCCACGGGAGGCGAGGCUCGAUCCGUCCACCAGCGCGUCGGCCUCGUCCGCGACGCCCGCGACACCCUGAACGCGCGGAGACGCUCCCGCGCGGACAGGGAGGACGGGGUAGAUCGAGGCUACCACGUCCACCGUGGCGGGUGCUACGACAGCAGGGAAGACCGCAGUCCGAGCCCCGGUCCGGCUGGGCCCCGGGCCUUCUCUGCGCGCAUCCUGAACGCGCCUUUUCUGCCGCGCUUCAGGCAACCCACGAGUAUAGCCAAAUACUCAGGGGAGACGAAUCCUGGAGUGUGGCUCAGCGAUUACCGGCUUGCAUGUCAAGCCAACGGGGUGGAUGAUGACCUGUUUAUCAUCCGCAACCUACCCCUCUUCCUAGCCGACUCAACGCGAGCUUGGCUAGAACAUAUCCCUUCGGGACGAGUUCGCAACUGGAAUGACCUGAAGGAGGUUUUCAUAGGGAACUUCCAGGGCACGUACACGCGCCCCGGCAAUUCCUGGGACCUCCAGAGCUGUCACCAGGGGGCGGACGAGUCCCUCCAGGAUUAUAUCCGGCGCUUCUCCAGGAAGCGCACCGAGCUCUCCAACGUCGUGGACGCCGACGUCAUAGGAGCUUUCCUAGCAGGAACCUCCUGCCGGCCCCUCGUCCACGAGCUGGGGCGCUGAGGCCCGUGAACCACGGAGGAGCUCCUCAAUAUCGCCACUAGCUACGCCUCGGGUGAAGAGGCCGUUGGAGCGAUCUUCGACCGCUCCAAAGGCAAGGCGAAACGGGAGGAGGAUGCUGACGAAGGCACCUCGAAUCGCCAGCAGAAGAAGAAGGGCAAACAAUGGCGCGAGGCCCCCCUCGUGGCCGCAGUCGAGCGCAAGCGAGGGCAGCUGCCCCCCGAGGGCGCUCCCGGCUUCUUCGACAAGUUGCUUGAGGGACCGUGCCCGAACCACGAGUUCCCCGUGAAGCACGCCUACAAAGACUGCAACCUCAUGAAGAGAUACUUUGUGGGCAAUCCGGUGAAAGGCGACCGGAAGCGGAAGCCCGAUGAGGAAAAGAAGGGCGACGAAGAGAAGGAAUAUGGCUUCCCCAAGGUGGACGGCUGCUUCAUGAUCUUCGGCGGCUCCGCGGCAUACGACACCAAGCGCCAGCAGAAGCUGGAGCGCUGGGAGGUCUACGUGGCCGAGCCAGCGACUCCGGCCUUCCUGGACUGGUCGGGGCCGGCCAUCACCUUCGACAGGUCUGACCACCCUGGACGCGUCCGGCAUCUGGGGCGUUACCCUCUCGUCGUCGACCCCAUCGUCGGCACGACGCGCCUCACCAAGGUGCUCAUGGAUGGGGGCAGCGGCCUCAACAUCCUCUACGCCGAGACUCUCGACGCUAUGGGGAUCGACCGUUCCCGCCUCCGUCCCAGCAAGGCGCCUUUCCAUGGCGUCGUGCUAGGGAAGCAGGCGAUGCCUCUCAGGCAAAUCGACCUGCCCGUUACGUUCGGGACCCCUUCCAACUACAGGAAGGAGGUCCUCACCUUCGAGGUGGUAGGGUUCCGCGGAACCUACCAUGCCAUCUUGGGACGGCCAUGCUACGCAAAGUUCAUGGCUAUCCCCAACUACACCUACCUCAAGCUCAAGCUGUCGGGGCCCAAUGGGGUCAUCACCGUCGGCACGACCUUUCAGAAGGCAUACGAGUGCGACGUAGAGUGCUGCGAAUACACCGCGGCCAUCACCAUCACGAGCGACUUGGCGGUCCAGCUUGCGGAGGUCACCGAGGACCGGCCCGACUCCAAGCAGCCGAACAUCUCCUUCGAGCCCGCUGAAGGUAUCAAGAAGGUCCCCCUCGAUCACGGCUGUCCCAACGGAGGAGCCGUGCGGAUCAGCGCGGCCCUAUCCCCCAAAUAGGAAAGCGCGCUCGUCGACUUCCUCCGCGCGAACAGCGACAUCUUCGCGUGGAAGCCCUCGGACAUGCCUGGCAUUCCGAGAGAAGUCGUCGAGCACUCCUUGAACAUCAAGGCCGGCUCCAAGCCAGUGAAGCAAGGAUUGCGCCAUUUCGACGAGGAAAGGCGCAAGGCCAUCGCCGAAGAGCUCCAGAAGCUUCUGACGGCCGGGUUCAUCAAUGAAGUGCACCACCCCGAGUGGUUGGCUAAUCCUGUCCUUGUACCAAAAAAGAACGGGAACUGGAGGAUGUGUGUCGAUUAUACCGGUCUCAACAAAGCGUGUCCAAAGGACCCGUUUCCUUUGCCACGCAUAGAUCAAAUAGUCGACUCAACCGCCGGGUGUGAGACCCUCAGCUUCCUCGACGCAUAUUCCGGCUACCAUCAGAUCGCGAUGAAAGAGGCCGACCAGCUCGGUACCUCCUUCAUCACCCCCUUUGGUCCCUGCUGCUACGUUAAGAUGCCGUUCGGCCUCAAAAACGCGGGGGCUACUUUCCAGCGAUGCAUGCUGAAGUGCUUCGGAGACCUCAUUGGGCGGACCGUUGAGGCCUACGUUGACGACAUCGUAGUUAAAUCCAGGAGGGGCGACCAGCUCAUUCCCGACCUUGAACUAGCCUUCGAAAGGCUGAGGGAUAAGCGUAUCAGGCUCAAUCCCGAAAAAUGUGUGUUUGGAGUCCCAAGGGGCAUGCUAUUAGGCUUCAUUGUCUCCGUACGUGGCAUCGAAGCAAACCCGGAGAAGAUAGCGGCCAUCAGCGACAUGGGGCCAAUCCGGAACAUAAAGGGAGUUCAGCGCGUCAUGGGAUGCUUGGCGGCUCUAAGCCGCUUCAUCUCGCGCCUCGGCGAGCGAGGGCUUCCUCUCUAUCGGCUCCUGAAGAAGACUGACCGCUUCGAAUGGACCGGCGAGGCCCAGGAGGCACUUGACCGACUCAAGGACCUCCUGACGAAGGCCCCGAUCCUAGUCCCGCCUACCGACGGCGAGUCCCUCCUUCUCUACAUCGCGGCGACCACCCAGGUGGUUAGCGCGGCCCUGGUGGUGGAACGAGAAGAGGAGGGACACGCUCUCAAGGUGCAACGCCCGGUGUAUUUCAUCAGUGAAGUCUUGUCCGAAUCCAAGACACGUUACCCACAGAUCCAGAAGCUCGUCUACGCCAUCCUUAUCACGAAGAGGAAGCUGCGCCACUACUUCACCUCCCACCCGGUAACGGUCGUUUCAUCAUUCCCAUUAGGCGAAGUAAUCCGGAACCCAAACGCUACGGGGAGGAUCGCGAAGUGGGCGCUUGAGCUCAUGGACCAGGGUAUCACCUACGCCCCCCGCACCACCAUCAAGUCCCAGGCACUCGCCGACUUCGUGGCAGAGUGGACGGAGAUUCAAACGCCAUCGGCGCCAGAGAAGCAGGAGUAUUGGACAAUGUACUUCGACGGGUCACUUAUGAGGGCCCGCGCCGGAGCGGGUCUCGUUUUCAUCUCUCCCUUGGGCGUGCGCAUCAGGUACAUGAUCCGCCUCCAUUUUCCUGCAUCUAAUAAUGUCGCCGAGUACGAAGCCCUCCUCAACGGACUCCGCAUCGCCAUCGAGCUGGGUAUCCGUCGGCUGGACAUCCGGGGCGAUUCCCAGUUAGUCGUCGAACAAGUCAUGAAGGAGUGGAGCUGCCACGACCCCAAAAUGGCAGCCUACUGCAACGAGGUCCGUAAGCUGGAAGACAAGUUCGAUGGGCUAGAGCUCAACCACGUCGCAAGGCGCUUCAACGAAGCCGCCGACGAGCUGGCGAAGGCGGCAUCCGGCCGAAUGCCCGUCCUCGACGGCGUCUUCGUUAGCGACCAGUUGAAGCCCUCAAUCCGUUACCCAGAACUGGCAGGGGUCGGCGAAGCACCCCCGGCCCUGGGAUCGGGACCCGAGUCAGGGGAGGUCGGCAGCGCGCCACCUGUCCAAGACCCGAGCACCAGUCCCGAGGGGGUCGACACCGCUUUGCCCGACUCGGCCCCGGGAGCCGAUCCGUCCGACCCCGUGGUCAUGGAAAUCACGGCAGACCCCGCGGUGGGGGCUGACCCCCCGAUCGACUGGAGAGCCCCAUACCUCGACUAUCUCGUCCGCGACACGCUCCCGGCAGACAAAACGGAGGCCCGUAGGAUCGCGCGCCACGCCAAAUCCUUCGCCAUCAUCGACCGGGAGCUCUACAAGAAAAGCCAUACUGAAAUCCUCCAGCGCUGCAUCACGAUCGAACAGGGAAAGGCGCUGAUCCAGGAUAUCCACGCCGGAGCCUGUGGUCACCACGCCACGCCGAGGACCCUCGUUGGCAACACCUUCCGACAAGGUUUUUACUGGCCGACCGCGGUCGCUGACGCUACCCAGGUAGUCCGCACCUGUGAAGGAUGCCAGUUCUUUGCCUGCCAGACUCACCUGCCCGCGCAGGCGUUGCAGACCAUCCCCAUCACGUGGCCGUUUGCGGUCUGGGGGCUGGAUCUCGUCGGACCCUUCAAGAAGGCGCCCGGGGGCUUCACCCAUCUGCUCGUCGCCAUCGACAAGUUCUCCAAAUGGAUCGAGGCAAGACCGGUGGCGCAAAUCAGGUCCGAGCAGGCGGUGCAGUUCUUCACCGACAUCAUCCACCGCUUCGGGAUCCCAAAUUCCAUCAUCACCGACAACGGCAUACAGUUCACCGGGAAGAGAUUCCUCCAGUUCUGCGACGACCACCACAUCCGUCAUGCUGUCAAGAGUAAACAGAAUAUUAAUAUCUAGGGUGCAUUUUAUCAACGGUUUCCUGCACACUAAUAUUUCACACAUCACAGCAUGACCACACAUAAACCACACUUAUACACAUACUUAUUUAUAAUACAUGCCCUAAAGUUACUUUUUACAAAAACCAGCGUACUACUCGGUCCAUCACAUAUAUCUUACAUAAAUAUAUUACAACAUCUCUCAGACAAGGUUUCACUUCAACCAUCGUAAGGGAAAAUGCCUAGUUCCUCGGCAUUCAGUCCCAGUCGGGCCAUUGCUGCCUGCAGGAUAUCUUGGUCUACGGUCAUCAAUGUUUGCCCUGGAGGAGCGACGGGUGGGGCUUGAUUUACUGAGUUUUCACUUCCGGAUUACGGCCCGGGAUCACUCGAAGUGUAAGAAGUGUAGGAUGCGGAGGUGCUAAUUCCGGAGUUUCCCUCCAUCUCUUCGGGAUCCUCCUCUUCUUCUCCGUCUUCUGGCUCCUCUUCUCCCCAUUGCUACAUUGGCCCGUAGCCCUGUGGAUCUAGCCCAUCGGCAUUGGCAUUGGCCCAGGCAAAUUGUUGAUUUCCCGCGGGAGCUUCACCCUGGUCGUCCUCCAUGUCAAUAUCAAAUUCUUCUAAGUUCUCAUGAGCAUACAGAUCAAUCUCUGGAACUGCAGGUGGAACAGGAUCUUCUUCCACUUCUACCACAGGUACUAAUUGGUCCGCUUCUUCCGGGUUCGAUGGCUGGGGCUCUUCUGGUGGUGGAGGUGGUGGAACAUUGACGAUAUUUUGUGCGGGUACCUGGGCCUGCAUCUCCUCCAAAGCCAGACGAAGUGACAGGAUCUCAUCCAGCUGCUGGAAUCUUUCUGCUUCCAGCCUAUUGACAUUGGAUUCGGCCUCCUCCCUUGCUCUAUCUACCAUGCUCCUGCUAGCCUCUAUGAACCCUUGCAUCACUCGGAGUUUUUCUUCAUAAUCGUCAAUUCUUCUAGAUUGCUCCCUCAUUAUUUUCUCCAUAUCGUGCUCUCUUGCCAACGCCGCCUUUUUGUACAACUCCUUAUCAUGUCGGGCACCCAUCAGCUCCAUCUUAGCAUCUUCAUUUUUCUGCCUCUGGUUGUAAUACUCUCUGAUGCAAGCUUGAUGUAAGUUGUACAUGGCCGUCAUGUAAUCAGAAGCAGCAGCAACCAAGAUAUCGUGCUCUACCCAAGAAGUGUUCUUCAAAGCUUUAAUUCUUCUCCUCCAGAUCCCGUCAUCUUGAUUCUUGAUAGGAUAGAACCGAGCAGAGCUCGGCCCUAUCUCCGCUUUGUGAUUUUCACACAACUCGGUAAGAGCAGUCAUAGCCGCCCUUUCCAUCGUGUCAUUGAACUCAAAACCUGAUUCCAUCACCUCUUCUAGACGCCAAUUGGGACGGGUGUCGUCAUCUGGAAUAUGCACAUAAACAGUGCAGUACUGUUUGUGACCCGUAUCUUCGUUCCUCCAAUAAUAUUCUGGGGGAUUGUGAAAGCCUAAUUCUUGCAGUGUCUUCCAAAGCAACUGCACAAAACCCGGCUUAUCCAAAUAAUGGCCGCGGGUCCAUCCAUCUUUAUCAGUGUAGCCUUCUUGAAACAUCCUAUAAAAGAAACGAGGUCAGGUCUAACGGCACUCACCAAACCCAAAAUUUUUGAAAAUAUGCUUAUGCAACAUGAUGCAACGAUUCCUACGGACUCACAGACUCAUAUACACACUCGUAAAGAAAUUGGUGGCAUCGUAAUCUCUUCCUAAAUACAGACUACCGAAUACUAGCAACACGCAGCAAACAGUUAGCAUCUGCAAAACAAGCAACCAGUUAAUACUACUGCCACCUGUGACUCUUGUUUUCGUUAUAUUAAAGUAGAGUCUCAGUUUAAAAAGGUAAUAUCUGUUGAUUAUCCCAACCUAUGGCUCUGAUACCAGCUGUGGCGGAACCGUCCAACUUAAACUGGUUUAAAUGCGCCUAAUUGCUGCCGACGCAGCAAUUAUUCAAAACGCAUUGAAAACAGUAUAAAUCCGAUCGUCCGUCGAGUGUCCCUAGGACCCCUCGAAAGAUCCACGUUGUAUUUCAUAGCCAUACAUCAGGAUAGUAUCCGCGAUGGGAUAACAUCAACAAACAUUACAUUUUUACAUACAUAUAAAAGGUACGAGUUAUUACAAAACAUAGAUUGAAACAAACUUAACAGUGCAGUGUUAGACAGAGUUCUAAGAUUUAAAACAUAAACAGUUCAGGAGGAGAUGAGCAUUUAAAAUUUUUUUCUCAAGGGUAUUGCGAGACUCAUAACAAUACCCUAGGGCUUCGGGGCUUCCUCCUCUGUAGACUCCUGCGGAGCUUCUGAAAGAUAGCCACAAGGGAUAACCCUGAGUACGGGGUACUCAGCAAGUCUUACCCAACUAACCAAUAUAAUAGCUUUCUUUGGAUGUAUGAUAGCUUUUGGUGUACUUGGCUGAUACAACUUUUGCCGAAAGCUUACUACACGUGAUACCUUAGUUUUAUCUUUUAUUUGGGUUAAGUUAUUACCUAACAAUUCUAAAUGAUGAGCAGAAAGUAAAAGCAACCAUAGAUAUUAAGUCAUACAUCAAACAUUAUCAGAAAGAUAUAUUAUUCAUGAAUUUAUACUACGAUGCUCAACAGUGAUCAAGUGCAUUCAUAACCGAGAAUUGCGGCGAUCCGGAUCAAUUUACAUCCUGCAGGAGAGUACCCUGAUCACCAGCUUUAUACGACUGUCCAAGUCGUACAUAACAACCUCUUGAUUAGCAAAAUCAAUGAUUGGGAAUACGACUACCCGGACCCAGGGACGCACCCCCACAUGGGACCCCACGUCUGGCCCGAUCACCAUGUGAGUUUCAGGCUAUGCCCCUGCCAAUCUCCAGCACGUCAAGCGCGGGUACGAAGUAUUCCCGACCAUAGAGUUUACUAACCUACUGGGCUUUACUGGUCCCAUACCCAGUAAGUGAUCAGAUGCUUAUCACUUGAUCAAAGGUUAAGACAACGAAUCGGGCCUUAACCAAAUUAAUCUAGUAGACAGAACUACAUCUCUAGCUUCUGUCCGCUUCUCAAUUUCCAAGUUAUCUUUUCAUAAGCAACAUGUAUGACUCAAAAGUUUUCCUUAAGGUUGGUAAACCAAGUAUGUAAGCAAGUAAGCAAUUCUAGACUUGGGUAUCUUCUAAGGUUUGAACAAGUGGCAAAGAUGUCCUUAAAACAAGGCAUGAUCAUACACAAGAAUAGGUUUCAAGCAACUCCUAGACUUAGUGCAUACAUAUAGCAAAUAACCGAUAAUUGGACACAUGAAAUAAUAACUCCAAAAUAGAUAGGUAUAAAUGCACCGGGGCUUGCCUUGUUCGCUUAAAAGUUAGUAUUGUCCGACGGGUUGGCUUCACAGGGGACUAAUUCAAAGACUUCUUCGAACUCUGAAGAUCCUUCUGAAAACUCAAAAUAUUCUCCUUCUGGUGCUUCGGGAUCUAUAGCACAACACAUGCAAGGGUUAGGAAUGCAAAAUUUUGAAUAAAAGACUAUACAACUUUCCUUCAUGAUAAAGUUGCAAGACAACAAGGACUAUACAAUCUAUCAUGAUAAAGUUGCAAGUCAACACACAAAAACCCAAAAAGAUUAACCCACAAUUUUUAUUUUCUUACCUAAUCCUUACUUAAGGCUUUUUCUUUUAUUUUUAGAAAAGGUUAUAAUUAUUUUCUAACUUGAAAACCUAAUUUCCUAUGAGUUAAGAAUAAUUUGUGAUUAAGAAAAUGUUAUUUCAUAUUUUAUGCAUUUUCUAAAGAUUAAGUAUUUAUUUAAUUACCUUAAAAGAAAGGCAUUAAAUAAAUACCCAAAUUUUUAUUAUUUUUUUCUAGGGUGUAAAAAUUUUAAUGCAUAAAGGAAAAUAAAACAAGCCUAACAAAAUUGGUUUCACUAAUUUUGGACACUCCUAGAAAUUUCUAUGAUUUAAAUGGUGAAAAACGGAUUUAAACUAAUUAUUCUAUAAAGGAAAUCUAAUUUUCCCGAAAAACACCCCCGAAAAAUUUUCUCACUCAGCUCGACCCUACCUUCUCUCAUACGCGCUGGGCCCACGGCGCGGACCUACCUCCUUUUCCUUUUCAUCUCACCUGCCGGCCUCUUAACCCUCUACUGGGCCUACUGGGCCAUCUUCUUUUUCUUUUCCCUUUUUCCAACCGGCGACGGCCUGACGGCCCAUCUUUCCUUCUCUUCUUCCACGAGGCCGGCCUGCUGGACCUCUGGGCCUCCGACCCUUUUCUUUACACGGCCGUCCGCGUCGGCUUUUUGGGCCUCCGACGCGCCAGCCCAACAAAACGCCCGCGCCCCGGCCUCUUUCUCCUCCUCUCCUUUCUCUCUGCCGCGCGGGCCCGAGCCCCAGGCGCUUCUUCCUCCUCCCGCCAAAACGCGCGCGCGACAGGGGGCGGCGCGACUCACCGGCCGGCACCCUACCGGCGGCGAAGCUAGGUCAGGAUAACAGCUCUAUGCCUUCACGCACCCGCGCGCGGCAACAGCUCCUCGGGAGAUGGCCGGAGCCCCAAUUGUUACGGUCUUACCAUGCUGGACCGUAACGGAGAUCACUCAAACACCAGAAACAUUCCAGAAAUGAGAAGAACUGGAAGAGACAAGUAGUGAUACGAAGAAGUGGGAGUCGAGACAGGAAAGAAGAAUGACAGCUAGCAGAGUAGAAUUGUGAUUUCUCCUUUCCAUCAUUGAUUCCCUAAUCACGUGAUGCUUACAACUUUAUACUCAGGUUUUACACGGCCUUGGGCCCACCUCACAACAACCUUUCCCACCGAAUAAACGCCAGCUCAGAAAUCACGCACAACACCCUCGCCACCAAGUCUGACGCUCGUCCGAUGAUAACACGAACUGUAGCACGUCCAGCACCCUUCAAUUGUUUCUGCAACAUCAGCACACCCUCUUUGCCUUCGUCUUCAGUCAGUGUAUUUAGCUUGCCAUGGCCCUCAAGGACAUGACACUGCCCCCUCCACGAAAACCAGCUUGCCCCCAAGCUGGUGCAUCAGAAAAUCGACGAGAUAUGUCAUGAACUUCCUCCCAAGUAGCCAGGUCCGAUGGCAGAGCUGACCACUGAACCAACAACUGAGAGACAGGUGAGGAACCUUUGGAAACAAUACGAUGAUCCAGCAAAGCUACAGGAACAACUGGAAAAGUAGCUUCCUCGGCAACAUUGGGCAAAUCCUGACUGACUGAAACUUCAGCAGAAAUAUGUUUCUUAAGCUGGGAAACAUGAAUCACUGGAUGAAUACGAGAUUCAGCUGGAAGAUCCAAUUUAUACGCCACUUGACCCACCCGUUGCAAGACUUGAAAGGGCCCUCCACGGCGGCGGGCGGCGACACCUUCGGCCGGUCGCGACUACUCACGACGACGGCACAAACUACUCGAACAACUACUACUACACCAUCCUAGUACCCUAAGGACUUGCCUACGACUACUUAAGAAGGAAGAGAACCAGCGCAAGGUGGUGCUCACCGUGAGCGGGAGGCGCGGCGACGGCGGACAGAAGCGGCGGCGGGUUAAGGCGUGCCGGCGAAGAAACUAGGCAACAAGCUGCUAGGGUUGCUGGUGGGGUAUGGGCGGAGGUGUGGACGGAGGGAAUCGACGGGAGCUGCGGUGUGGCGGUGGAAUUUUACCUGGCGGCGGUGGCUUGGACAGAGGUGCUGGCGGCGGUAAAAAGGAACGGCGGUGAAACGGCGGCGCAGGAGCGGUAAAUAUACAAACGACUUACCGCGCGUAUGGCUGCCACCGUGGUCUACCCAUAGGCUUGCGUGGUGAGGAGGUGGCCAAGCUGUUGCGCUGGCGAGCGACCGACGACGGCGGCGGCGACACGUCCUGCCUGCUCUGUCAUCGCCUCCCCCCUUUUCUUUAGUCGCCCGAAACUUCAGAGUUCUACCACGGCCGAUUUCCAAUCCAACAGUGCAUAUGCGUCUUAACCAAAGUUGUAGAUAAUCUCGAGCUUUCCAAUUCAUCUAUAAACCUUUGCCCGGGAUAAACAUCAAAAAGUCUUCAAAUUUCAAUUUUUCUUGGGCAAUUGACUGAACCCUUUUACCCUUCUAUUCAGUUUCGUCAGUCUCCUGACAGUAACAUCGAUCUCACUUGGAGAAUCAAUUUAGUGAUCCAAUUCCUUUUCUUCCAGUCCAACUUCUCUCCAUUUGUGUUCUACAACAUCCCAGGGUUCCAUUUUGCUCAAGAACGACUACUCCUUUGGAUCUACAUUGCUCUGAAAUCAACUCCAAAGUCGACCAGAUGCUGCUGUUUUCAGACUUUGAGCUUGAAUUUGAAUUCGUUCCCUUCACUGUUCCUGGCCAACAACACCCAAUUCUAGGAGUCCAAAGUUCAUACUUCAACAUGGUAUAGUUGUCCUGAUCCACUUAUUUGAAAAAUUCAUCAGCAUUUAAUUUCCAAAAUGGACUCUGCUGCUGUUUUUCUGGAUUUCUAUUUUCGGACGGUGAACAGUAAGUGCAGUUUUUCAUUUUCUUUCUCUAAUUCCUUUGAGAUAUUUAGGAUUAUUUCUGUUUCAAAUCCUUGAUCCUCAAGUCCCAAUUACUCUUACAUUUCUAUCCCUUAUUUUUGCCGAAUUUUUCUAAAUUUCAAAUUCAAAAUUCAAAUUUUGGUCAAAUUUGACCCGAAUUUGAUUUUUGGCCAAUUUCUUUUUCUUUUCUUCUUGAAUUGCUUCCAAUCCAUCAAAGUCACUUUAAUGACUUAAAAUGGCAGGUGUUACAGUAUCCGACCCUGGCCUCAUUCCAGGACCGCAUACCCCUCGGGGGCUACCAGUUUUGCUCUUCUGCGAAAAAAGAAAUCCCGAGCCGUCUCGGUUCAGGCUUUUUCCUUUAAGCUCAGGGGUAUCCGACCCUGGCCUCGCUCCAGGACCGCAUACCCCUCGGGGGCUAUCAGGGGUUCCGACCCCAGCCGCUUGGAACCAUCUAAAAGAAACGUUUUUUCUUUUCAAACCGAACACUCCCUUCCUAGACUUUUGGGCGCAAAAAAGAGAAGAAUGCGCGAACGGUGCUCAGGCAAGAUUGAUUGGACUACGAAAAAACCUACGCCCCAGCGGCUACGGCACCUUCGCUCAUCAAAACUUACUGACGCACCCGACAACGCAUUCCAAACUUUGAAGCCCAAAGGAACAGCAAAGGGGAUCGGGAUCUUUCGCACAGCGAAGUCAUAAACAGGCCCGUAUGGCCAUCACAAAACAAGUUCGAAACUGACAUAAUUACAUUUUGGGUGCCAGCUCGGUACAGUUAGCUUGACGGGGGGUCGGCAGAAGGGACGGCCUCAUCUUCCAGGAGCUUUGCGAGGGCCUCCGCUGGUGCAAGCACCGCUGCAUCGAUCUCGUCCAGCUUGGCUUCGGAGUAAUCGGCGGCGUACCCCUCGCUCAUCCCGGCAAAGUUAAUGCCGGAAUAAUGGGAGCCGAAGACCCCGAAGGCUCGCCGCACGCCGACGUGAAGCGCGUCCACGGCGAUCUCACGACGCCGACGGCGUACCCCGAGGACACGAGCCGGCAGAGAGCUCGGCCCCUCCUCCGGAACCACGCCAAAGUCGCGCAGACGACGCGGACCGCAUCCUACAGGGCGCUGAGCUCACCGCGCUCCGCGUCGAGCAAGCCCUUUAGCUUGGCGAUUUCACCUGUAGGAAUCGUUCGGAAAAGCCCGCCGUGUUAAAAAACAAACCGCGACACCACGAGAACGCGGGAACCGAAAGGAGACUCACAGUUAGCCAUGGCCUUCAGCUUGCGCUCCCGGUCGGCUCCUCGAGACACGGCGGUCUGGAGUCCCUGCUCGGCCUCCUCUUUCUUGGCCCGCUCAGCGUCCCGGUCUUGCAAAGCCUGGUGCCGCUCGCGACGGACGCGCUCGACGGUCUUCUGGAGGGCUUCAUACUCCCCCCUCAACCGAGCAAGCUCCUCAGCGUCGCGGCGGGCCCUUUCAGCGGCGGCCCGGGACACCUCCUGGUCAAGACGAGCCUUGUCAAUGACGGCUUGGAGCUUGGCGUCCGAUCGCCAUGCCUCAUCCAGCGCCGCCCCCUCACGCCUUUGCAGGUCACGAAUGACCCCCUGGGCGGCAGUGACUUGCAGCGACAGGUCCCUGGUGCGCUCCCUCUCCGCGUUGAAGUGCUCCCAGAGACCCCGCUCCAGCCGGAGGAAAUCAGAUUUCCCCCGACUGCACUCUUGGAGGGCCUGCAAAGCAACGUGCCAUCAGGGAAAAAAGCAAAUGGGAAGGUGCUGAUCACCAACAGUAGGGGCAACAUACCUGGCUGCCAGGGAGGACGGUGUUACCCAGAACCCCCAACGCCGAAGACAGAGCCGCCUGGGCGUGGGCAAGGCCGCCCUGCACCGCCUGCCACUUGUGCCACUCCGCGGCGUCGUCCAGCGUGAAGAGAUGCCUCGGCGGGUCUUCGCGGGAUGACCAGCGAAGGACGGACCCCCUCCACGCCUUGGGAACGGUGGGAGACUAGGCCGAGGCAGGAGCCGAUCCUGACGCUGCCAUCAAGGUCGGCACCAUUGCACUAGAAGCCGCCGGGUUUACCGACGGCCCCGGCACCUGCACGCUCGUCGCUGCCGAGGCCGCCGGCGGUAUCCCAGUGGGCCCCUCCACCUCCGCCGCCGCAACCACCGGGGGAGGCUCCUCCGUUCCUGCCGGAGUCCCCCCAGCGGGCCCCUCCACCUCCGCUGCCGAAGCCACUCCCGCGGGGGUAAUUGGGGCGGAGGUCCCCGCCUCCGUCACCGUUGCCUCCGCCGCCGCACUUUCGGGGGCAGGCGUCCCCUCCGCCGCCGAUCCCGCCACGGCUGCGGGGGCAUCCGCCCUACCUCCCGUCGCCGCCGUCUCCUCCGCCUCGUCGGCGUCAAGGUCGAUCACCUCCCCGCCCUGAGAACCCGGGGGGAUCGUGCCCUGCACCGUAGGGGCAACCAGGGGGACCGAAGGCGGAAUAGGGUCCGCUCCCCAUCCCGCGACUGACGCCGCCGUCGCUCCGCCAGCCGCCAUCGCAGGGGCCGCCUCCGCGGAGGGGUACGCGACCUCACCAGGGACCCCGCCGCUCGUCACGGGCGGGACCGCGGUCCGCCCCCCGGAGGAGGACGACAGCCGUAGCGCCUUCUUAGGCGCCAGCUGCAGGGCAAGGCCACGAGGAGCGGCGCUGCACAUCGACGAACAGACGUCAGCAGGAACGAACGUGAGAAGGGGAGAGGAACGAGGUGCAAGAAAGGCCAACUUACGUUCUUGAAGCACAAGGGCGGCGCGCGCCCUUCGACUCGGAGCCCGACGCCGACCCCGGGGCAUCCGGCAAUGGCCGCUUGGCGCCGCUUCGCUGCUCUCCAGUCGCGGGCACGGCGGUGGAGGCAGUCUCCGCGGACCUCCGAGGAGCGCCCUGGGCGGACUCCUGGGGAGCGCCCCGCGCCGUCUCCAAAGCGGCGGCGGGGGCAGGCUCCGAGGAUCCCUGAGGGGCGCUCCGCGCUGGCUCCGGGAAGGAGCCCCGUGUUGACCCCUGGGGGGCACCCCUCGCCGACCCCUGGGGAGCGUCCCGCGCCCGCUCCUGGGAGGCGCCCCGCGCCGGCCCCUGGGAGGCGUUCCGCGUCGACUCCUAGGGGGCGCCCCGCGCCGGCUCUGAAGCGGUGGUGGGGGCAGGCUCCAAAGACCCCCGAGGGGAGCUCCGCGCCGGCUCCGGGAAGGUGCCCCGUGUCGACCCCUGGGGGGCACCUCUUGCCGACCCCUGGGGAGCGUCCCGCGCCCGCUCCUGGGAAACGCCCCGCGCCGGCCCCUGGGGGGCGUCCCGCGUCGACUCCUGGGGGAUGCGCCGUACUGGCCCCUGGGGCGCAGCCCCAGGGCCUGGUGGAGCCAAAGCCUGGGCGGACACCUCCUCCGCUUCACCCCCCGCGGCCGUCCGCGGGGGUGCCUCCCGAAUGGCGAGUGCGCCCGAACGAAAGGAGGAAAUCAGUUCCUCCUCUUCAUCAUUUUCCUCAUCUUCAUCCUCUUCAUCAUCAUCGUCAUCAUCGUCGUCGUCGUCUGACACGACCGGCCCCCUCCGCCGCCGUUGGAACUCCUUGGCGGCCUUCUUCCUUUUCUUCGCCGUCUCCUUGUCCUUACGGCGCUUCUGCGCCUCAGCAAGGAAACGGUUGCACGUCCGCCGCUCAGCAUCCUCCGGCACCGGCGGGAGCGAGUCCACGACCCGGGUUAGCAAGCCCUACGAACGUAAAACAGCUCCACGUCAGAGUGACAAUCGCAAGAUACAAAAAAAAAACGGGGGGGGGGGGGGGGCGACGCCCCAACCCCUUACCAAAUCUUUGAAGCCCGCAUCCGGGCGCAUCGGCGGGUGCCCGGGAAUCGGGUACUCGACGUCCUUGUCCUCCAACGCCUCCCGAAUCCAUUGCCGGAUCUCGGAAGCGGCGAGCGCACCCGUCGCCAAAACGGGGCCCUCGGUCGGGGCGUCGGGGGUCAUGGCGGCAAGCAGCCGGAUUCGGAGCAUCAGCGGCGCCACCCGUCGGGCGUGGUACGCUCCGAUGACCCCGACGCCGGUGAGCCCGCUCCUCUUCAGCCGGAGUACUCCUACUCGGCCCAAUAGUCGGUAGCGGCCUCUAGCAAGACGUGCCAACUCCUAUACGCAUACGAAGAUCAUAUCAGACGAACCAUCACAACAUAAUAUACAUGCUAUUCCCUUUGCCUCACGAUAUUUGGUCUAGCUUCAAGCCGACCGCUCUUUCUCGAUCCUGUGAUUCGGAAUCCCUUUGUAGGUUAACUCUUAACCGUACGUAGCAUGGCCAUGCAUUUUCGGAUCCGAUCACUCGAGGGGCCCAGAGAUAUCUCUCUCAAUCAGAGAGGGGCAAAUCCCAUCUUGACUGGCCAUGUCUCAUAGCAUGCUUCUUGACAAACCCGAAAGCUACCUUUAUAACUACCCUGUUACGGCGUAGCGUUUGAUAGCCCCUAAGUAGGUCGAUCCACAUCUAGAUUACAUGCGACAGUCUCAGGUCUAAGGACAAAGCGUAUAUGUUGUUUAAAGAGAGAACUACUUCUCGUGUUGGAUCAGUCCUAGCACAUGUCUCCACAUGUGUCCACAUUAUUAGUUCAACAUCUCCAUGUCCAUGACUUGUGAAACAUAGUCAUCAACUAAUACAUGUGCUAGUCUAAUAUUCAUGCGUGUCCUCACAUGAACUCCGACUAGGGACAACUUUAGAAUAACCAUACAAGUAAAGAGUUUCACAUACAAUUCACAUAAUUGCAAAUCAAUUCAAGUAGCCUUUAAUGGAUAUUCAAUGAACACAAUAUACAAAUCAUGGAUACAAAUGGAAUAUCAUCAUCUCUAUGAUUGCCUCUAGGGCAUACCUCCAACAACCUGGCCUCCCGACCGGUCUCCUGCAACGAGCAGGGGCUCGGGGGCUAGCAUCGCAAGCAGCGGCCAUGCGUGUGGUCACGAUUCGCAGGCUCCCCAGCCAAGCUGGGAUAAAAGCAAGCACACCAUAAACAAGAUCCGCGGCGAAACGGCGAAAGAAGCCUCCGGAGGAGCACUUUUGCUCCACCACAGGCUCGGGGGCUACUGUUGGGGGGAAAUAUUAACGAUCCCCUAAAUACCGCUUAAAGGAGCAGACGCGAAGGCCCGGGCCCACCUAAGCAUAAUCAAAACUCCGCUUCGCCCAACCGCGUCCUCAGGGUCGGGAACGCCCGACCGCCCUCCACGAGGCUUCCGCCUCAUCCGACUGCGGCCCCGGGGUCGGAGGCGCCCGACCCCUCGCCACAAGGGUCCGCCUCGUCCGACCCCAAGCGCAGGGGUCGGGCUCGCUAGGGCCCCCAGGGCGGGCAUCCCCCUCGGAUGCGGACCAGGUGGGCAAGAUAACAAUCCUGUGGGUCCCCCCCGUCGGCCUCGCCAUAAAUGCGCCGCAGGCCUGGCAGAGGGAAGGAUGACCGCGCUCCUCACGCAACCUGCCGCAAGUACCCAUGCAUGACCAUACUUUACAAGCUACAGUGCUGGCGGCUCACUUCCAUUCGCCGCAGGGUACUCAUGGCCUGCGCCGACCGGAGCGGAGGAGAGACUGGCCUGUCCUCAGGCCCCGCGCGCCCUCGGGUCCCGCGCGCCCGGCAGCAAGGAUGUGACGCCCUCUCUCCAGGAGCCAUCAUCAGAACGGUAGCAUCCACCGUCCUCCCCAACGGACACCAGGAUAACGACGAAACACCUUCAUCAUAACCCGACGCCUACGAAUGCCGAAGGAGCUAUCUGUAGGGAGCGACGACAGUUGGCACACGGCCGCCUCCCCCUCCGGCAUGCACGCCGGCGCUCGUCAGGGGCCGGCGGAGGCGUCGGGCGUCUAGGAACUUGUUCCUCCCUUCCUGCCGUAUUUUUUACCGUACUACGUUUACACUUUACGGUCCUCUUCGCCCGAUCCCAGCUGUAACUCCGGCCACUCCCCUUGCGAUAUAAAAGGAGGAACCCGGGGCCGGAGGAGGGGAUCGGCUUCUUCUUCCCCAAGCCAUAGCACAAUACCACGCUCCCUGAGAGCACAAGCACAAAGAGACUUGGGACCAGUCCCUCUCUCGUCGAUCUGUAACCCCUACUACAGAACCCCGCAUGGGCAAUACGAGCAUCCACGAUACUGGACGUAGGGCUUCCUUUGCCCGAACCAGUCUAACCCGUGUCUCCCACGCCACCACCUGAGGCCUUACGCGCAUAAAAGAAAUUUACUAGUCUAAGUCUUGAUCCGCCAAUCUCGACAACGACACUACUACUGCUCCAGUCAAGGCAAAGAGCAAAAGGAAAAAGGAGCCUACUAAAAUGAAAACCACCAUUUCUAUACUGCCACUUGACAGCCCUACAAUGGGCCAAAAAAUAAAAGGGUGGAUCCUGCUAGCCCUGCAAUUUGCACAAGGAGCAAAAGAAGGCUCAGCCUGUGAUCUUAUGAAUCUAUAAAUUUGGACUCCGCCAUGAAUCUUUUUAUAUAUCAACUUUUGUGUGUGAACUUGCAUGUGAAUUUGAACUCCUAUGUGAACUUGCAUGUAUUUGUGGUGCCGUUCUGUGAGCUGUUGCGAUAAAAGGAGCUAAGAGCAACUCCAAGAGACUGCUAAUCUUACCCCCAAUACUUGUUUUAGGGAAAAAAGAAGAAAAAACGAACUCCAACAGUCCACCCAAACCUUCCCCAAUUUUUUAGCAACGCUAAAAAACAGCCUACCACCGCGUAUAUUUUAGCGUUGGCAUUCCUCCCCCAAUCCUGAUUCACGCAUGCUCACGUGUCCCUUCCGAUGGGUCCAAUACGAUGACGUGGCCUAUUUAUUAGUGAUCUGCUGUGGAUUGAUAUGUUUUUGGGGGAAUUUUUUUUUGAAGAACCCUCAAUAAAUAGUUUUGGGAAAGAAUUUUUUGAAGUACUCUUGGAGUUGCUCUAAGCCUCAGAGCGUUUCCUAGGAUCUGAAUGAAUGUUUCCUUCUUUUUUCUGCUGUCCAGAUCUACUUUUGAGGGAGUUGGAUAUAUUCUAAGGUGCUUGCCAAGUGUUCAAGAGAGGAUUCUGCUUGUUUUUCGUGCGUGUAUAAUGGAGCAACAAGUGAAGGAGGCGAACGGAGCAGCCGUGGAGACCUGCCACAGGGUGCUUGCUUUGCAGAAAAAAAUCAGAAAAAAAAGGCAGGCAGUCGCGUGCAUGCUCCCAGCAAGGAAAAUGAGGCAGAAAAAAAACAAAAAAAUGGCUGCAUGCGCUGCAUGCAAAAAAAUAGCAGCUGCAUGCGCCCGCGCGAUCUGCAUGCGCCGGCCAGUCUGCAUGCGUCAGGAGAAGAAGACCCACCUGCACACACCCUCCUUCCCACCCGGCCAGGCCCAGACGCAGGAGACAAGAGAUUAAAGAGGAUAGAUCGAAUCAAUAGCCAACUCCUCUCGUCGUCCUCGUCUCCAAAUCGAGGCAUACCCCAAACCCUAGCCAUCCCCAAUCCGGCCGCCGCGUCUACCGAUCCGUUAGAUCCAUGGCCGCCGCCGCUGCCGGCGACUCCGCUGUACCCAACUGGGUGAUGCUGGAGCGCUGGGCCUUCCGGAGGGACGACCCCGCCUCCUUCCGCGAGGACAGGAGGACCUUCGCUUCCGGCACCACCUCCGCCGGCACUCAAUUCGACGUCUCCUUCAUCCUCGCCGAGCCUCCCACCCCCUCGCGCCUCUACCUCUCGUGGCCGGAAGGGCCCAAGAAGGGGGGCCAGGGCCUGGUCAUGGCGGCCAACCGCAACCUCGUCCUCUUCAGGCUCGACUCCCUCGUCGACGAAUCCGAGCCUUUCGGGGAGGUAGUGCAUGAUUACUUCAUCUACAUAGCUGAUCCCUCCUCACAGCAGACACCCCUGCUCAGACGGCUGCCCCCCUGCACCGAGUACAACGUUUAUUUUGAGAUGCAAGAUACUCGCGCGUUUCCGGUGCUGGCUGUUGGUCUGUUGUGCCAUGGCGAAGACGAGUUUGCCGUGGCGCAUCUGGCCAUCAGGUCUCGCAAAAAAAAAUCAGGGUCUCGCAAAAAAAAAUCAGCUAUGCAAGCUGAGCUAUGCGUGCUACGCUCGUCAUUGUCCUGCAGUGAUGAUGCCAAAUGGGAGACCAAGGUCUUUCCGCUACAGUACCAAUACGAUGAUUUAUACUAUGAUUUUCUGAACUGGGAAGUGGAUGGUGUAGUUCCCUUCAAGAAUGCCUUGUGCUGGGUUAACUACUGUAGAGGCAUCCUUUUCUGCGACGGCGUCUUUGAAGACAGACCCAAGGUCUCCUACAUCCGCUUGCCUCUGGAUACUUCUUUCCGAGGGACUGGGACUGAUGCCGAUGCACUCAAGGGGAUGUACCGUGGCUUGUGUGUCACUGAAGGUGGCCAUCGGUUGGUAUUUGUUGAUGUUGCCCGUCAUGAUGGAAAAUGUUAUGGCCCGAGGAUGCCCAACACUGGUUUCACCCUCACCUCCCGGACAUUGAAGAUGACAGGGAAUUGCACCAUGCCGUGGGAGUGGAAUGAGGAUGUUGUUGUCACUUCAGAUGAACUAUGGCAUGCAAACACCAUGGAGAGUCUCCCUCAUGACAUUGUGAUGCUCCCAUUGCUGAGUAUGGAUAAGGCCAAUGUUGCGCACCUUUCAUUGCUUGACUGGGAUAGUGGCAGAUUCUCAUUAGUUUCCAUCGACUUGAGUAACAUGCAAGUGAUGGGCUCAGUCAUUACAUACCUCGAAGGGGAGGAUGAUACUGCUGAUGCUGACAUCGUCAAGGCAAAGAAAGAAUUAUGUGCACACUUU